rnacentral:lncRNA from 1 species
CAGAUUUACAACAACGAACUAAUUUAAGUUAAAAGUAUAUUUUAAAGAUAAUUUAAACAACUAACUCAGCCAUGGAUCAGAUUUCAAAGCAAAGCACCGUACAAUUAUUAAUUACAGUCGCAACAAAAUAAACAAUAAUUCACGCAGCCAAAUCACAGUGACUCAGACUCGGGAGGAAGAGCCAGUACUGAUCACUGAUUACCUCCCAGAUCCAUUCAUACACCUUCUAGCUCAGCUCCACCCUAAUCCAUUCAAAAUUUAAGCCAAAACCAAUCGAAUCCUUCUUCUCUCUCUCGCAGUUUUGUGGGUUUUUUUGCUUUUGCAUGUCAGAUCGUCAAAUACAGAGGAGAGGCUUCUGAAACAGAGAGCUAACAGUAGGAAGAAAGCUUAUAAUCUGAUUAGGAUCCAAAACUCCGAUCACAUCUUUUAUAAUCUGAAACAAGAUCUACGAGAAUCCGAUUACCAGUUCUUGAUUAGAAACUCUAUAUACAUAUUGUGUACCUAUAAUCUAUCUAUAUAUAUAUGUGGAUCCAAUUCAUCCCCUGCUUCCUGAAAAUUUCCUACAGCUGCUAAAAAGUGAGGAUGAUUGAUUCCACCGGAAUCUUCCGAUUCUCCAGGGGGAAAAAAGAACUGACAGGUAGAGAGGACAAUUGUGAAAUCGACGAUCUAGCUUUGCAUUGCCCCGCCAUUAAUUUUGAUCUCUAUGAUCCUCUUCAAUCUCCGAUCGGAAAGUACUUCCUCGCCUCCUGCGGCGGAGGUCGUCGUUUGAAGGAGAUUUCGGGGAUCAGGAAUCGCUGUAAUCGCGCCAGCAGAUGAGCAUGGUGACGCACCUGCGCAUGAUGUAGAACCUGGCGCGCUGUUCCUUGACAAGCCUAGCGCAUUUCCUAGAGAAGGAGCACCUCCGCUGCUGCUGCGAUGAAUUCUUCAUCAGAGGCGUUGUGGUGGUGGUGGGGUGGAGGAGGAAGAAGCGACGACGGCGGAGGAGGAGCGGGAGCUACUGGAGGAGGAUUCCUUCUUGGAGAGCUUCCACUUGGCGUGGAGGUAGAAGUGAGGGAGAGGAGCAGUGGUGACGUGAGCGAGCGUCGUCGUGGUACUACAGGCAGCCGCCAUUGUUUUGUGGAUCAGAGAUUCGAAGAAAGUGGGAGGAAAGGAGAUAAAGAAGAAAGGAAAAACAGUUGGGAUUUUGAGAGAGAGAGAGAGAGAGAGAUUGGGGGGAAGACCGAGUCAGAGAGCGAGUGAAGUGAGUGAAGAAGUGGGGAUAGGAAUCGUUGGGUUAGAUGGUUGCUAUUUAUAAUAAGUGAAAAAGUGAAGAGAUGGAGAGAAAUGUGGGUUUCACCUGGGCCUUGUAUCCAUAGGCCCAUCAUCUAUUUUGUUUUUGUUUUUGUUUUAUUCAUAUUAAUAUCUUUCGGAGUUGAUAUAAUAAUUACGUUAAUUAUCACAUAAUAAGUGUUUUGUCGUAAUAUAUAGUAUGGAAAGCACCAAACAUAUAUCUGAAUAGUCAAUGUGAUUUGUUAAAAGACCAUAUUGAUUGGGACAAGUCCGUACGAAAAAGAACACAUAAACUUAAUAAAUAUAUACUAUAAAAGUAAAAUAAUUAAACAUUAUAUGGUUAUCCAUUUAUGAGUACAAUUAGAUUUGAAUCGGAUACCAAUACUUACCAAAAAAAAUAAAGGGGAAAGUGGUAAGAAAUAGCCAAUGAAAGUGGUAAAAAAAACUAUACAAAUCCACCAAAUUUCAACCGUGAUUAUGUUAUACAAGUGUAAGUAGAACACACUGACUACCUAGACGGAGCAUUACUUAGUAUGCAUGCCUCAGCAUCACAAAGGGGUUUAAAUUUGAAUUGAAAAGAAGAAUGGUACGUAGGUGGGAGGUAUUAAAUGAAGUUAUAGAAUGUGAGGAGACACGUGAAGUGAUAAGACAAUGAGUGGGGAUCAUGUUAAAUCUGCCAUCUGAUCUUAAUAGUGCUUCCGUUUGCUCGUGUGGAUGGCAGGAUAGGAUUUGACGUCGAUGUGGUAGUGUGUAAACACUAGUUGGGGUGCCUUCAUGGGAUUUGACACAUCGCCCAUUUCUUCCCACUCCUAGCUCUUGUUGUUGUACCUCUCCUCCAUAAUCACAAUCCAUCAUGUGCUUUGGCGUAGCUACCAUCACUCUCAAAAAAUUCAAUGACUCGAGGCCGAAUAAGUGAGCACUUUACAUCACGUUCUUCAAAACGACACCUUGCACAAGCAAAGAGGUGUGUGUUAUAGUUUUAUGUAUAUUGGCUAAAUACCGUAUGGACGUACCAAAAUACGGUUGUGAUACUGGGCACUAAAACAAGACCGAAAUUAAACCCGGCAUCUUCAGUUUCGUCAACGGUCAACCAACUCUACAGCGUCAUGUGCAGAUAUUCAGAUUGCGGUUGGUUCUGUCGUGUAGCGGCUGAUCCUUGUUUGUUUUCCCUUUCCCCCCACAGUCAAAGCCCGCCGAUCAACGACGAGGGCAAAAAGAUGUUUCUGCUGCUGCAAAUGCAGAUGCAGAGAAGGCCAUUAUUGACAAUCAAAUUUCGAGCAGAGCCGCAACAAAGGUUAGGUUCACUGUAUCAUUACAUCAUAAAAAGUAAGUAACUGUACCACCGAUUUUUUAACGGCAUCAAAAGAAACAAAAACUGGUCAAUUCCCCCACCCCUGGGAUAAGAAUAUAGUCAAAAUCUGAUGUUGGGCGGCUGAAAAUAGUUAUUCACUCAGUCACUCCCAGCUCAGGAGAGGGAUCGAAUGGAUGUAUUCAUGUAGCUAACAGAGGAAAAACGUUUGCACUUUGCAGUCAGUUCUUGAUACUGGCAAUGGUUAAACCUCAUCCGCCCAUCUAAUUUUUCGAAGAGGUCUUGUAACAACACUUCAUUUUAAUCUUAGUUCAUGGGCUAUGGUUUGAGGGAUGAGUAAGGAAUAUGAUGUGAAUCUCAACAAUUCGAGUUAUUGAAAUACAACGAUUUAUAUUGAUAAUGAUAAAAUAAGUCAAAAUUUUGAUGGAGGGUGCUUAGACUGAUUAUAAAGCACAUGUAUUAGUUAGCAAGUAGCAAUAUCUAGAAGCGGGACCACAUGUAUUGCAAUCUUUAAUCUGCCAUGCUUACAAUUGGACAAAAGCUUAAACAACUACGUCCUUGUCCUAUCCGGUUUUGUCAAAUCAAAAUAGACUAUAUCUUAAUCCUUGUUCUGUCAGGACUUGCAGGACCACUCUAAAACUUUCAGUGAACAUGCAGCACUAAGGCAUCAUCAUCAUCAUCCCACGCAGACUUGCAGCGGAACAAAGUAUCAAACUUUGAACUCUCGUGCUAUAAAAUAACACCCUGUUGGUUUAGUUUAUGCUGUAAGUUGGGAUCAAGUUGGUGAACAGUCACAUGCCCUCCAUGUGAACAAAAGCUUCAAGGUUUUUGGGAGACAGACAGAAGUAGGCCAAUGUAAUUUCAUGAGUGUUGGUAGUAUGAGACUCACUAGUACCAUACUAUAUCAUAUAUAUGAUGUCACCAAAAUGGUGGUUUUGAAAAGAGCUGCACUUUAAGGGAACAGUAGACGUCGUUCCCCAGAUGUAUGUCUCUCUAAAGCAAACUAAGUUGGUGGUGAAGUUUUCUCCAUUGUCAGACUUUGUAUGCCCCAUUUGUUGGUGGUUUCCGAUAUAAAAAUCAAUUUGAAUCCUUUUCAAACAAUUUAGUUAUUGAGAAAUAAUAGUUUUUGACAUGAUAUCAGAACAACAGUUAUUAAAGUUGUACAAACUAGAAAAAACCAAUUUGAAUACUUUUUCAACAAUUUAAAUUAUUGAGACGCAAUAUUCUUCAUGAUAGUUUCUUCUUUUUGACAGAAACAAGUGGAGCCUGUUAAUAUUAACUUCAUGUACCAUCCCCAGCAGCAAUUAUGUUUUGGUCUAUGAUUCAACGGACAUCUCUCUACCAUAUGUCACUAGAUUUCAUUCUCUCUAAAUCCCCGGCAGCCUAAUUGGGUGGUGGCUCGUGACCACCAAAACAGGAAGGUAGUAAACAUGCAAAAAGUUUGAGCAUCAAAGCUUUUUGAGUCUGGAUUGAAUGCACCAGUGAUAGCAAGUUGGUGCUUCUGGAGGCAGAGGACUAAACACUCAAAAGAAAACAAUCAUUACAUUUUGGACGCCAGAGUUUCAGCCAUUUGUCAUGGAUGAUGAUGAUGAUCCAACAGCUCCAUUCAUUGGUUGCCCUAUUUUACAAGUAUGUUGGACCUUUUCCAACAAGUACUGUUAUAUAAAUGUUUCUUUGGGGAAGAGUUCAUGAACCUGAACCCAGCCAGUUGCAAUUGUACACUUUCUACUUUCUGCAAUUAAUAUAACACAAGAUGCGGCUUGAUCAAUUUGCAGACCCUAUUUCUAAACGGACGAAGUAGACCUUUUUGUUAAAGAAGAUGAUGAUGAAAGUAACGUAAGACAUUAGGUACAGACCACUUUCUCCAUAGAGAAAAUGGACCAAGUAGAUUGAAUCUGCAACCAUUUACUCGUUGGUUAUUUGAUUUCAGUAUCGUAAUGUCAUGAACCGUUGUAUACUAAAAAUUUGAGUUGUUUGAAGAGGGUUGGGAUUGGUUUCUAUAUUAUCCAUUAACAUGCCCCUUAAACGGAAUACACACAGAUUAGUGGGGGUAAACGGGACUGAAAACGGAGACCUCUCGACUUUUUUUCAGGCUUUCAUACCAUAUCAUGAGCCAUUGCAUCUCAACAACUCGAGUUACCGGAAGAGGGUUCAUAUAUCACGUAGAAUUCAUUGAGUAUGAUCAAAAGAGCAGAAAAGCUCUGCAAUCUUUUGUGGAUAUUUGAUUUAAAUUGCUCCAAAUGAUAGUAUCAAAUCUGAUCUAUAAUAUCUCACUUAUUCCAUCAAAUAUCUAGCUGUUGUCAAAUUUUGUAGCACUCAAAAUCGCCGGAUUGCUACAGAUGAACCAAAAGGGCCAAGUUAUCUGCACCUUUUGAAGAUUUCCAUGAGAUAAAUUAAAUCACAUUCUCAGAUACUGUUGUGUCAUUGUUUUGAUUCCAUAUCUUCAUUCCAAUUUCAACAGAUUAUUCUUCCAGACACGAUCCCUGGAUCUUUUCUUCUCUGUCGCCUUAUUGAGACUGGUUACUACUAAUCAUUGGUUGGCUUCCAAACUACUCAAAUAUAUUCCAGAAAAGAAACCUGCUGCUCUGGCUUGAAUACUGCAAAAUCUCUGAAAUGAAGGGUUCCUAUGUUAAAGAUGCAUGAUCUGAACUUCACAUGUGAAGCCAAGAUCGUCAUAUCAUGAUCAAAGGCCACCCCCACAGGUUUCAAUGGAUUUCAUUCAUUCUCACUUUGUAUGCAUGUAGUAGUUUCUAUUCACGGAUUUGGAGGAAGAUUUUGUUUCUAUUCUGCAACGUACAAGAUAUAGGAGAUUAUCAUGAUCUUUCAUUUCCAGGAUAGCAUUGACCCUUUGAAAGUGAAGAAUCCAAUACCAGAUUCAGUGUGAUAUUACAGCAUCAAAGUUGACGGAUCGGGUAUUGGUAUUUGAUCUAAUCACCAGCAACAGCAAAACCAAGAUGAUAUAAGAUUAUGAACAUGAAUUUAAGUUUAAAUGUCGAUUCAUAUAUAAAAAUUCCACAUAAACACUUUGAGAAUUUUACAUUGGAUUUUAUCAUUAUCAGAACAAGAGAUUGUGGACAGUGGUAUAAGUUUGGCCCACCCCAACUCUGCCAAUGGUCAUGAGGCUGGUGUAAUUUAACCAAGGGGCUAAGUUAGUGAUACUGAAUAUGAACACAUCCGCCCAAUCUUGUGUGUCUCAAGCUUAUAUUGAGAUGCAGUGGUUCAUGGCAUGAGCACAUCCAUCCGAUUUUUUGUGUAUCUUUAGUUUUUUGUGUUAAUGAAUUAUAAAAAAUUAAUAUUAAAUUUCUUUCAAUAACUAGAAUUCGUUCGUAACAUUGUAUUAGAACCUGUGAUGACCGACGUAUCAUGGUUUCGAAUAAUGGCUACCGCCUCAGUUAUCAAGUAAAGAAUACAUGCUACAUUACACACACAAAAAAGAGUUUAAAGAGCAAUAAUCAAUCCAAAAGAAACAAUAUAAAGACGACGACAGAGUGCUCUGUUUUUUAAUUCCUGUUUUCUGGGUUUUUCAUUCAAUGGCGCCGUCACAAAAAGAAAGGCACUGUUAGUUUAUGUAGGAGAGUAGGUCGAUAGCUCUCACAUGGCCGCCAUAUAAAGCAAAGAUGCUCCGAAAGUCGGUAAUUCUGCAUCACCAUAUUAAAACAGAGCUUUGUUAAUCAUAUCUCUGUUUGAAUCCAAAUUGGAUUUGGAUUUUCCCUGUUUCACUUACAGUUUUAUCCCAAGUUGAUCCUGAUUCUGGACAGAGCAUCUCAUAGGUUUGUCAGUUGCAGAAGUAAGGCUUCUGAGUUUGACCUGAUCUUAACGCCAUUUGCAGGCUUCACCAAGAAUCUAAAACGAGAUAUAGAGCUGCUGGGAAGCUAUCUAGCUAGGGGAAUAUUACAUAGUUUUAGGAUGCUAGCUUUGUCGGUUUAUACAAUCGGAUUAAUCAAAUUCCAUGGGUGUGUAUAUGUAAUCAUGAGCUCCAACUUUGCCGUAAUGAAUUCGAGUGUUUGUUUAAUCAUAAGAGCAGAGUCCCUAAAUGCAUGGCUUGCAUGUCGUAAGAUAGGGGAGCAUUCCUCCGCUGACUCAAAUCAAAAUUAGCAUCUUUGUUUUGUUCCGUACUAUUUUUUUAAUGUUAAUUAAGUUGUGUUUUUCCCCCUUAGUAUAUACCAAUUGGGCAACUUGACUAGUCAAAGUUCUCUUUCAAAUUUCCCACCAUUUAGGUUGUUAAAAUAGAAAUAAUAAGAUUAAUUUUAGUUACUUAAACCAAUGAAAAGAAAAGUAGAAACUCUGUUGGUCAAAUUUAAUCAACGUAUUUAGUAUAUCAAUUAGUCACAUGCAGUAGUGAAAACCUAAGCUUGUUUAUAUUGUUGUUUGUUCUAUAACUAGUUUCAGUUAUAUCGAUUGCAUAUCAACGGUAAUCGUUCGAUUAUUGCGAAAAUUGUUCCAUUUGUUUUUGAAUUUAUGUAGUUGUACGUCACAUAGAGCGUAAGAAGAUGUAAUAAGAAAUAUGUAAAAAUUCAAGGUUAGCGAAAUGCCGCAUCCUUGGAUUUAUAAUGGCCUGCUAAUGGACUGUAGAAGUCAUUGGGCCCAAAGAGAAUUAAGGCCCGAGGGCCAUGGAAAACUAUCCGUGUGAAGCAAUAAAAGGCUGCAGCCAUCUAUUACUGAUGAUUUACGUGGGCUUUGUUAUUGGCCCAUUAGAAAAUGAAACGAACCCAUUAGUGUAAAUAGCCAUGGUCAACACUAACACAACAGCAUACAUAAUAUUAACAUCCAUAAACUUUACUACCUCCUUCCGAACCACUUUCUUCAUAUUGGGAUUCAAACGUGGAUGAGGUUACACAAACGGAUUCGAAAUCAUCCUUCAUAAAAAUCUUGUAAUUACAAAAGAAUGGUCAAAUACCUCACAUAUUUCGGAGAAGAGCCGCAAGAAGCUCUUUCAUAUCAAAAGAAAUUACAAUACACUAAACGAUAACCAGAAGUUUCGAGUCAUCAUCGAGGAAGGCAUACUCAAAAUGCUUUGGUAAGUACUUCAGUUCAGCAACAUGUGGUCCGUAGCCUCCGCCCGCAUUGCACUAGAGAAUGUAAAUGGACCUCCAACACCACCUUUCAUUUAUUGCUGAACCCUGCCACUGGAUCUUUGACCCACGCAUCGGCUUGCUUCAAAUACUAUAUCUUACAUGGUGUACAACUACUUUGUCCUAUAUACUCAUGUACCACUAUUUACUCAUUACCAUUUUGUAAUGUACGUAGUUGUUGUGCACUCGCAUGUAACUUGUAUGUACUCAUGUCAUGUACAUGAGAAUGUGCGUAUAGUGUGUACAAAUUGUGCGGUCAAAUAUAGCAAUGUCUAUAUAUGUGUACAUGAUGAGCAUAUAGAAAUGUACAAACACAUGUACAUGAUUGCUUCGUAACCCUAUAUGAUCAUACAAAAAUUGAAGUUCCAUUUACAAGAUAAAUAUAUACGAGCAUGACUUGAUCAGAAGCUCUAGAAACCGAACAACUUCUAUAAGAAGGUGAUUGUACCCUUUUAGUUCAAAUCUUAUCGACUCUAAAUAGAUCCUGAAAGGUCUACAUUGAUCAUAUAUAAAUCUCAGUUGAGAGUUGUGAUGGACUUAAGUUUCAACCAUAGAAAGACGAGCCAGUAAUUAAAGACGCAAGUAGCUAGUCAGCAGAUUUGCAGAAAGAAUGCAGAGAAUCAAACUGAACAUAACCAGACGUAAACUUGAAAGAAAUGAACAACAGAUCCAAGAAGAGUACUGACUGGCACCCUAGUCACUAAUAUCCACUGGACAUUUAACAAAAACAUACAACUGAUCAUCAGUUUUGACUUUGUAUUAUUUGGCGGUACUGAUUGAUUAUCAAGCAGUCAGUCAAUCUAGGGGAAUCAAAUCACAACCAAAUCUCUCAUAUAUGUAAUUAUUACUGCAUGCUUGCUAUAUGGAUCUGCGUCCAAAUUCAGCAGAGAAAACGUAACCCCUUUCUGUCCACUGGGCAACAACAAGUAACCUUAAAAGAACAAAACUCAAAAUGAUCAACCUUGUAUUCUAUCCUUGAGACAGCACAAACACCAUUACAGAAGUUACAGCUAGAAAUAAGGCAAAAGUAAACCCAUAACCUGAAAUAGUGUAGGGGAAGACCUUGAGAUUGUGAACAUUAUAUUGUCAUCAACAAUUCCAAUCCCCAUAGACUAAAUGCUUCAUAUAUAGCUACACACCAUGUCUCCUAAAAGAAUAAUACAACACUAUACAAUAAUAUCCCCGAAUUCACCAGUCCGUAAGAAAAAAGCAAACCCAGUUAGUAGAUUUGUUUUUGUGAAUUCAAAGUAAUGAACUUUGGAAGUAAAAAUGUCGACAAACGACUGAGCAACUGCAGGAGGAGUAAGAGACGACAUUGAAUACAGUUUAGAUCCCACCAAAUGUACGAUUCCACUAUGUAAACCCAUUUCUCAAAAAACCCUAAAGACCAACCAGAAAAAAGAAGAGAAAGUAACCCAGAAUUACGCCAGUAAAAAGUAAAAUCAACCAUUCAUCUCAAAGAACCCCCAAAAGACAUACAAACUACGAAAAUAUAUACUGUAGUAUGAAAUUAGGUAGAGAGAGAGUGAGAUCCAGCAUAUCCAGACUGACCGGAAACAGUGCGGGGGGUCAGUUAUAUAAGAAGGUAGGCAGUGAUUGCCGCUGCAGCAUCAUCAAGAUUCCCAAUACCCCCGCCCAUGAAUGAUUUGGGCAAAAGUGAAAAAAAAAAAGCUUAUAAAGAUAAGCUCUUUUAUUUUAACUUUGCCUUUGUGGGUUUGUGAAUCUUGAUGAUGCUCCAAUAGCAAGCAGUGGCUGUUAUUGUUGUGAACCCUAACCCUAAUGAAUAUAUGGAUCUCAGAUCAGAAAGGAGAAGAAAAAAAGCGGUAUGGGUGUUAAGAAAGAGAGAGAGAUCAGCGUGGACUGAGGAGUAGUGGGUGGGAAAUGGAGAAAGGGGAUUGUAAGGGUAUAAAUACAGAAAACAGGAACCCAGGUACGAGUCCCAGCCCAGGUCAUUAUUGGAAUUUUAAGAAACAUAUAAGCAAGCAAAGGGAUGAUGAAUUAGGAAUAAGGGUAGGGAGUGGGGACUGUGGGCAGCUGGUUGGUGCUUGCUUUCUCACUCACACUGACAGAGAUAAAGACAACUUUUACAGAGAGAGAGAGAGAGAGAGAUAGAAUUUUAUUUACUUUGUCAGUUGGGACAGACAGCUUAUUUCUGAGAUAAAACUGAGAAAUAGUUAUAGAUAGAGCACCCACCCACCCACAGUUAUACAUCGCUAUCCUAGGUUAAUUUAUUACCCCAGAAUUGCCAAGCUCAUAUUACCUUCGUCAUUUUUUUUAUGUCUAAUGUGAAUUACUACUAGGCAUACAUUUCAAUUUUGAAAACAAAUUUCAUUGCUUUACGAUGGUGAGAUCCUUACGGUAAAAACAAUAACAAUUUUAUGGUGAUAAGGUCAUGGACCAGUGGCAGAUACAUGGUAGUGUUGGGGGAGCCGCGGCUCAAGGAAUUUUUGGUUUAGGGCGGUAAGUAUACAUUUACUAAAUUAUAUGUAAAGUUUGGAUGAUUUUAUAAUUCGGCUAAUGGUAUUUGAUGUUAUGCCCUUUUAAUUAUUUAUUUAUACUAACUCAUCUAUUAAAUUUUUAACGCUAUAAUGAACCUAUUAGUGAGUAAUAAUCAUAAUUUUAGUUCAAACAAUUUAAAUAUAUAAACGAAAAUGGCUGGUGACAUCAAUCUUCAAGGACAACUUGUUUUAACUGAAAAUAUUACACCGCAUUUGUUUCUUAUACAUUUUAAUUUAGUACUAAGUUUAAAAACGUAUUAAUCAAUUUGUUAUUCGAUACGCGAAUUUUCUAUUAAAAUCCUACUCGGUGCACAUUUCGAUCUUAAAUCCGUCAUUAUCGUGAACGAUGACUUAAGUACUCCUCUAUCACCUCCACUUCCUCCACCGGGCUACAUCUAUCACUAGAACUAAUAGCCUAACGACUAUGAUAGAAAAGGUUUUAUUAAGUAACCCACACUUUAAAUUUUGGGUCAACAUGACUCUUUAUCAAAUGAUCAUUCUUUANNNNNNNNNNNNUUUACCCAACCUCCGUUUUUGACAGCUCUACCAUAUGAUCACCAAAUAUGAGAGCAUAUUAAGGUCUUUGAAUUUUGAUGUGGAAAAUGAAUUGAAUCUCCUUCUCCCCCCAUUUACUCUUUUUGAUCGUGGGGGAGAGUCGCACGUUUUGUUGGGGUGGGGGGGGGGGGGGGGUUNNNNNNNNNNNNNNNNNGGGGGGGGGAUUUGGUUAUAAUAAGGCAACUGUGACUGUAAAAUUACAGUUUCCAUUCCCAGCCCAGAUUUCUCUUGACCACUUUUGCAAAUAUCUGAAACUGGGAAUUAUCAGAUUACAGGAUGAUGAUCACAAGUUGGUAGCGGUGGGUGAGCAGGCCCAGCCGGGUUGUACUACACAGUAAUUACCAAUUAAAUACACUAUUUCAAGUAAUUGGUUUCCAUCAUAUAAUAAAUACCAUGCACCAACCUAGCUACCUUUUAGCUGUUACUGCAUUUCUCUCACGUUUGAAGGCUGUAAGCUUGCAAGUCUCUGCAGUAAAUUUCAACUCUGUGUCGCGAUGCUAUAUAUCAAGUGGGUGAAUAUGAGAUGUUGAUAGUUGUUGGCAGAGUACAUAUAUCAAGUUGGGUCUAGGAGAGCUCAUGAAGAGAUAUUAAUGAAUUGGUGUUCAAGUGUCUCUUUGUCAGAUUGGUUGAGAUGGCCGAGUUGGUCUAAGGCGCCAGAUUAAGGUUCUGGUCCGAAAGGGCGUGGGUUCAAAUCCCACUCUCAACAAAUAUAUUUUUUUUUUCAAUGAAUUCUUCUCCUUCACAUUAAAUUUCUUUCAACUUUUGAUCCAAUUACGUCUCUUUGUUUGACAAUUAGUAGUGAUAACAGAUUCAAACAAAUGAAGCUUAUCAACCUUCGAAUGCAUUGUCUAUUCGAUUCAAAUUUGAUCGACAACCACAACUGCAAAUUUAAGAUGAACAAGUUGCACAAACAGAGUCCCUAUUGGUAGUUGUUCUUUCUUUCUUUUGAUAAUGUUUGACGUUUUGUGUUGGGUUUGCACAUGGGGAAUAUAUACAGGCAUUGUAUAGUUUAAAUUUUAGCACUGUUAGUUGAAUAAUAAGUAACAGUCUUUUACAUACUCUACAUAUGUACAGGGACAUUGUACGAUAUUAACCAUGCAUGACCCAAUGGGUUUCCUCAACAUGGGAGGAGAGUGAGUCGACCUGCAGAAGAAAACUCAUCUUUUUGGACAAAUUGUUCAUCUAUACGACAACGUACUAUAAUUUUUGGAGGCAUUGUUAUUCCAUGUUUGACUCAUACAUUUACCACCAUUUUCUCGACAUUGUGAAUCAAAGCAUGAUCUGCACUAUCUGCAGAUAUUCCCGGUCGAUUGUGUAAUCAAACCUAACCCGAAAUAAUUUCUCUAAUCGGCAUCUCAAACUUCGAGUUAAGCUUACAUGAUUCUAAUAUCAUAUAGCUGUAUGGUACGCAAGAUAAUUUUCAAUUUGAAAAGCUUUGUCUUUGUUGUGAUUCUCAUAUCCCAGCAUUAAAGCGAUUUUUAUCCUCGUGGGUUGACGUAUAAAAAAUGUGUGUAUGUUGGUCUUGGCCUUGAUCUAUUUUAUUUUUUCAUGCCUCUCAAUUUCUAGCAAAUGGUUUAUGGUGAUUGCAAUGUUGACCCUUGUUUGAAUAAUCGUUCUAACAGAUUUAUUUGAGAAAUUAAAAUAUCCAUAAAUGGUGGAUAUAUUGUAAGAGACAUGAAAAUUUAUUACAAUUAUCAUACGUAAGAAGGUUGUAUGGUGAGAAUGAAUUCCUUGUUGAGUAGUGACAUUGAAUCAAGAGCAUCUUUGAUUAAUUACAACAAUCCUUUCUUGUCAUACUUCAUAUGAUUUUUCAAAACAUAGUAUGGUACCAGAUGUGGACCUAAUUAGUACCAAUGCAUUAAUUAUUACCAAAUUGUUAAUUGUCCGGUAGCGGGAGAAUCUGCUUUUUUUUGCUUUUUAGCGUUCCACAGAGAGCCUCCCAGGUGAAAUGCAGCUUACUUAGUAGUGAUAAUUCUUCUUUAAUGGCAGACAUAAUUAACGAUAAUCACUGGUGAUAGUCACUAAUCAGACUGAAUGAAAAUUGAAACUGAGUGGGGAGCCAGUGAGAGACGAAUACGUGACGCUGAUGAGUCAGAAAUAUGUACGAUAGAUAGCGCGUGAAACACGGAGGAGUGGGGCCGUUUUCCAAAACAGACAUCCUCUUCCAUCCUCGUACGGCUUUACCUUUACUUUCUCUUUUUUAAUUAAUUACAUAUUUCUUUUUAAGUUUCUGCUGAUUAUUAUUUGGAUCUUCGGAAGUAGUUCAUGGGUGACCGUGCAGCGCCGAGGAGCGCGCGUGGUGGGUUUUGUGCAGAUCAACAGGCGUUCAUGAAUCAUUAUUAUAAAGAAUAUUUAUGAUUUAUAUAUAUANNNNNNNNNNNNNNNNNNNNNNNNNNNNNNNNNNNNNNNNNNNNNNNNNNNNNNNNNNNNNNNNNUCCUCUGUUACAGAUUCUGAUUUCACAGUGUCUACACAUAAAUAUGAAUCUGGAAAAUUUGAGCAUGUUCUCUUCACGAGCAUGUGUACUUUGUGCCCUUUUAUAGGUUUCACACAAGAACAAUAUCGACGUUUUCGGAAGAGUAUGAUAUUCGCACCGCUUCUGUAAGUCUUGUACGAUUGAUUAUGGGUUAUUGGGAUUUGAAACGGAAACUUCUCAAUCAUUUAAAACACCAAUGCCAUGUCGAGAUUUAUUGGAUCUCAAUAACCCAAGUGUUUAAGAAAAUGUUCAAUAUUGAUUUUAUAUUAUUUAAUUAUUAACAAACACUCGAUUUAAUUUAUUACAUAAUACCAAUUAUCUAUUAUUUGGCUACCAUGGCGGAAUUGGGGGUGAGCCAACCACGAUCUCCGCGUGUAUGAUCCAUAUUUCUAUAGCGACCAACCCCUAUGUUGAACUUGAAGUUUAUGUCAACUGUGUGCGCUUCAAACAUCACCCAAUGUACAUGUUUUGAAUUCAGCCGCAACCAACACUUGAAAAUCCAUUCAUAAUCUUUAACCAUCCUAAUUUCGUAUUUUAAGGUGAUCGAGGAGUUCAUACCGCCAUGUUAGGGUAAAUGAAAAGUAUAUGGAUGUACGUAGGUAGAGGAGAUGUGGGAAAGAGAUGUCAACAGUAGUGAAUGGUACAUAGAGUAUAUAUGAAACAAAUGUAAUAUCAGUACUAUGUGUGCAAGCAAUCCCAGGUUGCCCCAAAAUGGAAACCCUAAAGGAUCGUCGCUAUCCUAUCUAGCCUAUAUAUUUAUUCAUUAACGUAACUCCACUCCACUCCACUCCACUUUACCUUUCUCUCUAUGUGCACACGACUACUACAAACACACGUUAGUUCCAUCAUAACAUCACUAUCCUGACUCCUGAGAUUAUUAUUAUUAUUAUUAUUAUUAUUUGUAGUUAUUUAUGCAUGAUUCCAGUUUGCGCAUGAUGAUUAAAGGAAAUCUAGGCCAUAAAGCACAUAGACAAUAUCUAACAUCCUAGUUAGCUAGAUUUAGUUGAAUAUAUAAAUCGAUAAUAAAGGUUAUUACGGCCGGUUAUUUCUUGAAGUGUGAUUAAUAGCUUGACAACUAGCUAGUAAGCAUAUAUACAUAGCAUCUAACAAAGCCCACAUUAGUAGCAACUUCAUGGUAAUAAGAGGCCCUGGUAAGAAAUUUUUACUCGAAAACUUAAAAAUAAAAAAUACGACUAUGAGGUAUGUUGUACAAAUAAAAAUACCCUAAUCAAAACUAAAAAAUACCCGUAUUAAAAUUCAAAAAAAUAUCCAAAGUUUAUCUAGGGUAUCAUGAUUUCAAAUCCGAACAACUUUGGUGAUAUGAGCAUGGGGGCAUGCCCCCAAAUACGCAUCAUGGUCCAUACUAGCUUGGAUCCGGAUCCAAAACUUCCUUGUCAAAGCUCAUUAAAACUCUUGAUAGAAGAACCGAUGAACCACCGACACCAAUAUCCUAUAGGGGCACAACGGUUUUAGUUUAUCUGAGGCUGUAUAUGGUUUCACUAACAAAUGUGUAUAGACUAAUUAGGUCUCACCGUUACAAUUAACAUCACAUAUAUAUAUAGGAUUAGUCACUAAAUCGAUAAUUCAAAAAUUAGAACCAUAUAUACUCAUAGUCAUAUCCUAAUAAUUAGUCCUCUGGGCACUACAACAUACAUUGAAUAUCAAAAAUGAUAUUUAAUGCAUAUUAUAUUCUUGCGAGUCUAUAUGACCGAUCGCAUGAAAAGUAGCCCAAAUCACUAAUUAAUAUCAACGCAUGGACCAUAUAACCCGUUUAUAUAUCAUAAAAUAUGGAUCACUAGAGCAAUAACACGAAAGAUAUGGUCAGAACAUAAAAAGGUCAAACGAGUAAAUUAUGAUGUGGCCUAGUACAAAUGUCUGAUCGAUAAUGGUGAUUGGGAUGGGAAGAUAAAUAAUGGUGUGGGAAUCAGAAUCAGAAUCAGUCACGUUUGAGUGUGUCGUGGUCGUACGUCGUCGUCCCCUAGCUAUAAUAAUGGUUAGCUGGCUUUUGUUUUUGUUUUGAUGAAACGGAGCAUAGCCACGAAUUUUUGGGUAGUUGUGUGUUGAAGUUUAGUUUACAUCUACGUUGUGGUUGGCAACGAACAUGGAAAACUGAAAUCACAACUCAAUGGAUAGGUUUUUGGAUGGUUUCACGUUGGCCGGCCGGCCGGGUCCGCUGCUUCAGGAGAAUGAUCAUCAUCAUAUCUAUCUUUUUUGACCUUUUCCUUUUUGUAUAUUUAAUAAUUACAAGAAGAAAAAGGUUAUAACCUGACCAGCUCUGAUGAUCUGAUCUGAUGAAAUAUUAUCAACCCUACCAUGCACAGCUAGCUAUGCCUGGUUUGGGACAGCUAGAACAACUACUACUGUGUGGCUGUGGGGUUAUUGUUCAUCAAAGUAAAAACUCUGCCUCUUUCACCUUUCCAUUUACGUCCACUGUCAAAGUUUUCCCCUUUUUAUCUGGUGGGUUGUUUCCUGUUACUUAUUUUUAAUUAACAGUCAAUUCAGACAAUGGAAUCAAUCAAACCAAUGUUGUGAAACCAGGGAUAGAGAUUCAACCAAGAUUAUUGGUAAGCUAUUAUUCGGUUAGAUGGAAAUUAGUGUAAGUCUGCAUGCAUUUGUUCUUUGUUUCAUUUCCAAAAGACAUAUAUUAAUUUAUCGAUGCGUUAUUUCAAUUGUAAUCCGAACAAUUAACUCGUCAACCAUAUUGCUUAACGAGUCUUGUAUAUGCACAAGAAAUCACACUCCCGAGUGUUGUGGUAUAUUUGUAAACUAGUGUUUGCCAAACUCAUAUAGCAUUAAUAAGAGUACCAUUUAUUUUUGAAAAAAGAAAUUUAUUAUAUGUAUGUAUUUCUAAAGGAAUUAGUCUUAAAUGUUGAUAAAUCUAUAUUGAAAUUGUAAAAAAAAAAAAGAGGAAGAGGAGUAAAUGCAGCUGGCCUUGGUUACAGUUUCAUGAGAAGGUGCAGACGAACAAUGAUGGUGAUCGUGGAUCGGGAUGGGAUGGGAUGGGUGGAGAUGGUGAUAGACUGAUAGCAAAUGCAACUGGGAAUCAAAUGAUGAUGAUGAUGAUCCCAUCUCAUGCACAUGUCAUGUAUAUGUAACGCCCUGUUUUCCCUAUAUUUUUUUUAGCAGGUGAGGAUUUUAUAAAACUAUACUCUACAACAAGUAAAAUAUGAUAACAUUGCAUGAAAUUUUUUUGCGAUUAGAAAACUACUGGUAACGACGAUGAAAAUUUCACUAUAAUCAAAGAGUUUGAUUCGUACAAAAUUAUAGAAGGUUAGCAUUUAAUUUGUAUGAUGUAAUAAAAACGGAUCAACUUUAUGGGUCGUUUGGAUAAUGAUUUGGGCGUGAUAUUUUGGUCGAAAUAAUUUGUUUUGAGUUAUUUGAGUCAAAAUAUCUCGUUUAGAAUCCAACACAAAAUAUGUGGUAUUUCGGACCAUGGUAUUUCAAAUAACCCACUUUCAAGUUAUUUUCAAAUACCUCAUCGAAAUAAUUCGUUUGGCAAUCAAAACAAAAUAUGUGGCAUUUCGAGAUGUGAUAUUUGAAAUAACUUAUUUUUAGUUAUUUCAAAUAACUCCCCACCAUCUAGAUAUUUGAAAUACCUCAUUAUUUCAAAAAUAUGGUAUUUCCGUUACCAAAUAUCACAUUGAAUAACUAAUUAGCCAAACAAGAUAAUUCUCAUACCACAAAGCCUUUGCACCACAUAAAUACCACAUUCUCAAAUAACUCAUAAUUUUAUUCCAAAAUACCAAAUAUCCAAAAUACCUCAUCAUAUUAGAAAUGCUAGAACCUCAAAGGUUGCACUAGUUUAUUGGAUUAGUCUUUUUUUUUUGAAAAAACAGUCUAAUUUUUUAUUUUGUCAAAAUUAAACAAAAUAAGGAUAUAAUCAUUUAGAAAAAUAUUGAUGUUCAUAUCUCUAAAAUCGUUAAUACAUGAUACAACCAACCAUUACUACUCUACUUCACAAAAACUUUUACAAGAGAAAGAAAAAUAACAUAAACAUAAAAACCAAUCUGGUAUUGAUUUCUGUUUAACAUGCAGUUGGGCUAAUAUCAAAAUAUCAUGCAGUUGGGCAUGGGACGAUAUUCGUUAUCACCUCCAUCCUAACAUCGGGCCAGAACUGUGGCAAAAACUCCGAUUGGGCCAUCUAGGCCCAAAUAACUAUCUCAAAUUUACGGGUGAAAAAAUCGGUUUUCCUGAGUUUGAAACAACCCGACCCACAACAUGAUUUUCGCCUUUCUAUUACCAAAUAAUUAGUUAUGAGGAAUGAUGUAGGGGUUGAAAUUGGUUAGUGGUUAGUAAUUAUAAUUGUUAACCACAUAAAUAUUUAUGAUUUGUGUUUGACUACUAACCUUACGUGUGAUUAGAAGUGUGGUUUGUAAUAAAGAUUUUGUUAAUUUUAUUGUUAGUGGUGUAACUGUAAACUGAAUGAUUAAUAAAUAUUAAACUGAAUUAACCACAUAUUAAUACAAAAUUUUAUUUUCUAUUUUCUAACCUAAAACUCUAAAACCUGAUCUAAUAUGAAAAUUGAAGAGUCAUCGUUUUCUGACUAUAAUGAACAAAAGUUAUGAUAUAGCUUGGUUGGUGAUAAAUAUAUUGAUUUUACUUUGUGAACAAAAUAAAUUACAACUUAAAUACAUCUUUGGUUGUAUGGUGAAACAUAAUGGAAUUGUGAACAUGAGUUUAGUUGUCUUGUUCAAUGGUUGAAUAGUGAUUGUGAUUGCUGAAUAUAAACUUAGUUAUUCUCACUAGUCAUUACUCGUUAGUUUGUUAUGUUGAUUUAUAUAAUGUUGAUGUUUGAAAAUUUAAAAUUUGUUGGAAUUUUAAUUGGAAUUUUGUUUGAAUUUUAUUGAAAUAUGAGAUGAAUUAGUUUUGUGAUUAACCACUAAAUUAAUCGCAAAAUUAUAAUAAAAUUAAUGAUUAAUUGUAAAUAAAAGAGGUGUGGUUUUCUAUAAGGAUUUUGACUUAUUUGUGAUGUGGUUGACCACAUAAAACGAUUCGGUUAACCACAAAUUGAACCACUUCCGCCGGAGCGAGUAGCUGCAAAGUCCAGAAAGGAAAAGCUUUAGGGAGCCCGUCCCCUUUACCACUCUGUUCACUCCUGAAUUUGAGCUUCCGGCCACUUACCGGAGGCGUCGGAGGAGCUAAAAUGCCAUUCAUAUCGCAGAUACAGAGGCAGUCCGAUUACUCACUCAUCCCUUCUGACACCCCAAUCGUCAUCGACAACGGCGCUUCCUAUUUCCGCAUCGGGUAAACGAUACGGAAACCCUAAUUUUGGCUGUCUGCAGCAGAUCAUAUGCAUAAUGCUUGCAUUUGUUUGCUUUAGAAACAUCUAUGUUUGUAAUGUUAGUUUGUUCCCCUCAAUUUUGUACUGGCAGGUGGGCUGGAGAGACCGAACCUCGGAUUAUUUUCCGCAACAUUGUCCAGAGGCCUCGCCAUAAGGCCACCGGCGAGUCAUUUUCUUUAUUCACCUUGUUGCCAUUUUAGUUCUGUUGCUUGGUUGCGUUGAAUAGUUCGAGUAUUUCUGAGAGGUUGUAACUUGUAAGGCUGCAGUUAUUAAGUAGGUCUUUGUAUCCUGUUAUUGUAGGUGAAACGGUGACUAUUGUUGGUGACCAUGACCCCGCAUUACUGAGAUACUUUGACUGCACUCGGUCUGGGCCGCGCUCUGCUUUCGAAAACAAUGUUGUUUUCCAGUUUGAGAUAAUGGAAUAUGUAAGUUUUAGCAUAGGGUCAUCGAAUUUGUCAUUAUCUUUCAACUUGGUGGUAAGCAGUUUAAUUCCUUAAUAUGGAUGUCCCGCGAUGGUUAGAGUCAUAGAAUUGAGUUUAUCACAGAACCUUCAAAUAUUCAGCGUCUUGUGCACUGUUCCACUGUCAGUGACUGGCUCUAGUUUGUUCAAUUUUCUAGUUUGAACUUGCUGGUCUAGCUGUUUCUAUCACCGGCUAAAUGUCUUCUGUUAUUCUUGUAGAUUCUCGACUUUGCGUUUGACCGGCUUGGAGCAAAUGGUUCACAGGUAUAUUAGAAAGUUUGUUUGCCAGAUAGUGCAAAGGCACCCUGUACUAGCUGUUUAAUGAUCUGUUCCUUUUGAGCACAGAACAGAUUGAUCAUCCUGUCCUGAUCACUGAAUGCGCCUGCAAUCCAGUACAUUCCCGCAGUAAAAUGGCAGAGCUUUUGUUUGAGACGUAUGGAGUUCCAUCAGUUGGUAUAAGUCAGAGCCCUUGUUGAUUAGACAGCUCUCCACACAUUUCAGUGGAUAAAUUUCUUAUCUGUUCUUUUCUAAACAAUGAACCUUGUUUUUCCUUUCACUUAAAAGCAUUUGGGGUUGAUGCGGCAUUCAGCUACAAGUACAAUCAACGGCAGGGAGUUUGCAAUCAAGAUGGGCUUGCUAUAUGCCCUGGAUUUAAUACAACCCACGUUAUUCCUGUAUGCUCUCUAUACUUGUGUUGGCUUGUUUUUAUUCCUCUGGGAGUGCAAUCUUUUUAAUGGCAAUAGCACUUUGUAACAUGCCGUUGUUUCUGAUCUGGUUUUUAUUCUCCUAGUUCAUUGCUGGAGAGCCAGUUUAUAAAGGAUGUUCACGGACUAACAUUGGUGGCUAUCAUGUUACUGACUACAUGAAGCAACUGCUUGCACUGAAGUACCCUCAUCACUUGUUAGUGUUUCUGCAUUAGACUCCGAUUCCAGCAUGUUACUAUUUAUGAUAAAGAAUUCUGUUAUUGCUUUCUAUAACAUGACUCCUGUGUAUUAGGGCCCGAUUUACAUGGGAGAAGGUUGAAGACCUAAAAAUGGAGCACUGCUAUAUUGCAUCAAACUAUGCUUCAGAAGCCCAGUUUUUUCAGGUAAUAUGCUCACCUCUUAUUCUGUCCACUAGUAUUCAAAUGUUUGUACUUGACCUAUUGCAGUUAUGUUACAGAAAGGGACUAAGGAAGCUGAAGAUAAAAGUAGGUAUUGGCAGCUUCCAUGGGUUCCGCCACCAGUUGAAGAGCCCCCUUCAGAAGAAGAGGUCGCCAGAAAGGCUGCCAUAAAGGAAAGGCAAGGUCAAAGGUUGCGAGAAAUGGCUGAAGCAAAGAGGUCAUCCAGGAUUAAUGAACUAGAGAACGAAUUGCGUGGUCUGGAAUUUCUCUUGCAUCAGCUUGAACAAGUGGAAGAGCACUCGAUUCCAAGUUUCCUCAGAGAGACCGGCUAUCUUUCCAAGGAGGAGAUAGAGGCCUCUGUUAACAAGGUGAUGCAGUCUCUACGGAAAGCUAAAGGAGAUCCAAAAGCUGAACAGUCUGAAGCUGAAGAAAAGACCGAAUCUUCAAGUGAAAAAUAUCCUCUAGUAAAUAUUCCUGACAACAUGCUGACCCCUGAUCAGGUAGGCUACUAAUUUUUACAUAUUUGUGUUGCCAUUUCCUUUCGAAUUGAAAUAUUGAGAACGUUUAUGGUGCUUUGCUGGCAGCUCAAGGAAAAGAGAAGGCAACUGUUCCUUAAAACCACAUCUGAUGGUCGACAACGAGCAAAGCAGAAACGUCUAGAAGAAGAAUUAGAACGAGAAAAAAGAAAUCAGCUAGAUGAAGAAAGACGCUUGUAUCUAUCUAACCCACCUACUGCAACUUUAUCUAAUUUCUGCAUGUGUUGUGUUGAUCAUUUAGCUUACUUCUUUCUUUCCUCUACUGUAGAGAGAACCCAGAGCUUUACUUAGAGCAGACACAUGCUAGGUACAAGGAACUCUCCGAGAGAGUUGAUCAGCGGAAAAGGUUGAAAACUAACGGCAAUAACUCGAAUGGGAACUCUGGCGGUAUUGGUCGUGGCGAGAGAUUAAACGCUGCUCAAAGGGAAAGAAUGCGACUUCUGACAACAGCAGCAUUCGAUCGAGGGAAGGGUGAGGAUACAUUUGGUGCUAGAGAUGAGGAUUGGCAAUUAUAUAAGUUAAUGAGCAAAGACAAUGAUGAUGAUGAAGAUGGACCGGAUGAAGUUGAAGUAGAGCUGGCACGCGUUUCUUCCAGGCUUCAGGUAACUUUAGUAAGACCUAUCAUCUAUGAUAUCUAAAACGUUUAUCCCUUCUGUCGUUCUUGCAUUCUUAUCUGAUUUACUGUAUCAUCACCUAACAGGAAAUAGACCCAACAUUUGUGCCGAAAUCAGAAGCAGGAACCUCCCAGCCUACUUCUGAGGUACCGAAGCUCCGUCCACUAACCCAGGAAGACUUCAAGAUUGUGUUUGGGGUCGAAAGGUUUCGAUGCCCUGAAAUCCUGUUUAAUCCCAACCUAGUGGGGAUCGAUCAGGCCGGGGUGGAUGAGAUGGCAGGAGUUUCGAUCAGGAGGUUGCCGGACAAGGAUGAGGAAUUGGAGAAGAAAUUGACGAGCUCGAUUCUUAUGACUGGCGGAAGCUGCUUGUAUCCUGGUAUGUGCGAGAGAUUGGAAGCUGGGAUUCGGAUGAUUCAGCCAUGUGGAGCCCCGAUUAAGGUAGCGAGAGCACUGGAUCCGAUUCUUGACGCUUGGCGAGGAGCUUCGGCAUAUGCUUCAGCAGUGCAGUUUCCGCAGCAAACCUUUACUAGGAAGGAUUAUCUUGAGAAAGGCGAAGAUUGGCUUCGCGGAUACAAGUUUCGGUACAAUUUGUAACUGUGAAUUUAUUUUAGGCUGUAAUCUGUUGUAACAGAACCUAACUAACGAUGUCAAUUUUCCUCAAUUAGUUGCCUUUUCUAGUCAAAUUCAUCUGUUCUUUUCAGCUAUUGCAAUGGCAUACAUAAUUUGAUUAGUUUCAUACUUCCAGUUUGCGGUUCGGCCCAGAUCGAAUUGCAGGGAUACAUAAUGUUUGUUCAGCUUGCAGAGAUAUGAAAAAUAAGCAUUAUUGCAAGGAAGAAGGAAGAGUACAAGUAAUCAAUUCUGCGGACUGCAGUAAACCAAAAUAUGAAAUAAUUAAUAACCUGUUAUAAUUUAUCCUCCUCAAGUGGCAAAUAUAGACAGUAUAGGUAUCUACAACUGGUAAAUUUACAUAUAGAGAGACCAAAGUGAACUCUAGUUUGGCAGAGAUUGAUCAUCAUCGAAUGUGAGUCCGUCCCAGCGACCAAAGGCCUGUAUCCUUAACCGGCGCCUGUAACAGUAAUUAACAAAUCGUAACAUGUUAAUCUUAUGAAAAUUGUCAUCAUUAGCUUCAGAACAAAGUUUUUUCUUGUAUAUGCAAUCUUACAGGUGCUUUCAUGGAUGGGAAGACAUUCCAGAACCGCAGAGUUUCGUCUCCUGCUCCAGUUACUAUGGUCUGCAAAACAACACCCCAUAUAAUUUUAACAAAAAUGCACAAAAGUUUUCGAAUUUACGAAAUCGAACACAACCCAUAAUCCAAUUACCUGGCCAUCAGGCGACAUGGCGAGGUACAGAACCCGCAAACUGUGUCCAGUCAGAGUUGCAACCUAUACCCAGAAAAGAAAAUAUACACUUAACCAGACUACUAAAGAUAUUUAUGGCAGUGUUUGUUUAGGCAAGAAAAUCAGUUGAUCAGACCUUUGAUAAAGACGGAUACUUCCACACCAUAAUUUGGUUCUGGGAAUACCCAUGAGUGCUCACCAACUCAUUCACGUUCUUGCUCCACCCAAGAUUGCAUACCUGCAACCACCAAUACUCAUUUAGAACUGACAGAUUGAAAUUUCAGGCCACAAAAGUAGAAAUUAUAUCGAAGGGGACGAACCUGGCUACCGGUAUCGAUAUGGUUUAACUGGUGACCGCUGGUGGUGUUCCAGAAGCGAAUGCAUCUGUCUGCAGUUCCUCCUCCAGAUGCAAGGAGACCACUCUGGUGAGGUGACCAUGCAAUCGCCUUCACUGCAGCUGUGUGCUCUGUCAGCUUCAGAAUCGGCUGCUGCGAGUGCUGGUUCCAUACUAGGAGCUAAAGAAGUAGACAAGUUAAUGACCCAGUUUACUAUGUGCAUUCAGGAUAAAUAAUCAUUCUGAAUCGGAAUCGCAAGCUACCUGGUUGUCAUUUCCACCAGAUGCAAGCUCUCUGUCAUCAUGAGACCAUUUUAAGCCGCACACCUGCCAAAAAGAUGAAGUCCCAAAUCAGUAAAACUUAUUUCUAGUCCAUGAAACUGUGGAAUGUGUAGACCAAGUUGGAUAGAGCUAACGCACCUCAGAUUUAUGGCCAACAAGCUUGCUAACAUAGUCUCCGGGGACACGAAGAUCAUGCUGAAGUAUGUUCCUAUCCCUGCUUCCUGAUGCCAGAACCCGAGAAUUCCAUGCUAGAACACCAGUCCUAGUCUGAUGCCCACCCAUUGUCCUCACUCUCUUGCACUGAGUUCCAUCCCACACCUGUCAUUACACCAAAUUUCACAAAUUUUUACUCUUUUGAUAAUCUCAGCUACUGAAUAUCGAACUGAUCGCGAAUAUAACAAUGAAAGUACCUGUACUUGCCCAAAAUGGGUGCCAACUGAUAUAUAGGACCCUUCCUUGGUCCAUUGAACUGAACACACACUGUCAUUAGGUCCUAAAUCACACAACUUGGUCACCUAAUAACACAAAAACAAACAAUUUCUACUUCAAUUCUGAAAACCACACUACAAAUGGGACAGUACAAGUCGGCUNNNNNNNNNNNNNNNNNNNNNNNUAUCUCUAAAGUUACAAACUGAGACAAAUUGAAGUACUUUCCCCCUCACCUUGUGAGGAGUCUUGGGGACCUUUCUGGAAGGCUUAGGCGGCGUCGAACCUUCGUUACUACUUCCACUGUCCUGCCUCAGAAUCGACGGCGAGUACGGAGAAUUAGGCCCACCGGAAUGAUCCUUCUUAAAUCUAAGCAUAUUUGGACUUCCCAAACCACCUGCAGGGGAAGAAGAGGCGAAAUCAGAUCCGAAAAGCUCACACUUCAGUAAUCUAGCAUAAGUACUAUCACUCCCUCCUCCUCCUUCUUUAACAGGGGAACCAGACGACGGUGUAUCCAGAAGCCCGAAGGCGUGCAGCCUGGAAGCCGAUCGGCAAGUUAUAACCUAUGCGCCGCAAGUGGAGGACUUGGACGACGGGGACGAGAGGCUGGCGAUCUCCCGCGGGGAGGACACCGAGACGACUCGAAACGCAGGGGAGGAAGGAGAUGGAGAUUUCUUGGAGAUGGUUUCGAGGCGGAGGGAGGUCUGGUUCAUCCCAGCUGGGAGGUUGAGCCCGCUGCUCUUCCUUCACGAUGGCGUUUCCAUUUUAUCUACAACUGGUAAAUUUACAUAUAGAGAGACCAAAGUGAACUCUAGUUUGGCAGAGAUUGAUCAUCAUCGAAUGUGAGUCCGUCCCAGCGACCAAAGGCCUGUAUCCUUAACCGGCGCCUGUAACAGUAAUUAACAAAUCGUAACAUGUUAAUCUUAUGAAAAUUGUCAUCAUUAGCUUCAGAACAAAGUUUUUUCUUGUAUAUGCAAUCUUACAGGUGCUUUCAUGGAUGGGAAGACAUUCCAGAACCGCAGAGUUUCGUCUCCUGCUCCAGUUACUAUGGUCUGCAAAACAACACCCCAUAUAAUUUUAACAAAAAUGCACAAAAGUUUUCGAAUUUACGAAAUCGAACACAACCCAUAAUCCAAUUACCUGGCCAUCAGGCGACAUGGCGAGGUACAGAACCCGCAAACUGUGUCCAGUCAGAGUUGCAACCUAUACCCAGAAAAGAAAAUAUACACUUAACCAGACUACUAAAGAUAUUUAUGGCAGUGUUUGUUUAGGCAAGAAAAUCAGUUGAUCAGACCUUUGAUAAAGACGGAUACUUCCACACCAUAAUUUGGUUCUGGGAAUACCCAUGAGUGCUCACCAACUCAUUCACGUUCUUGCUCCACCCAAGAUUGCAUACCUGCAACCACCAAUACUCAUUUAGAACUGACAGAUUGAAAUUUCAGGCCACAAAAGUAGAAAUUAUAUCGAAGGGGACGAACCUGGCUACCGGUAUCGAUAUGGUUUAACUGGUGACCGCUGGUGGUGUUCCAGAAGCGAAUGCAUCUGUCUGCAGUUCCUCCUCCAGAUGCAAGGAGACCACUCUGGUGAGGUGACCAUGCAAUCGCCUUCACUGCAGCUGUGUGCUCUGUCAGCUUCAGAAUCGGCUGCUGCGAGUGCUGGUUCCAUACUAGGAGCUAAAGAAGUAGACAAGUUAAUGACCCAGUUUACUAUGUGCAUUCAGGAUAAAUAAUCAUUCUGAAUCGGAAUCGCAAGCUACCUGGUUGUCAUUUCCACCAGAUGCAAGCUCUCUGUCAUCAUGAGACCAUUUUAAGCCGCACACCUGCCAAAAAGAUGAAGUCCCAAAUCAGUAAAACUUAUUUCUAGUCCAUGAAACUGUGGAAUGUGUAGACCAAGUUGGAUAGAGCUAACGCACCUCAGAUUUAUGGCCAACAAGCUUGCUAACAUAGUCUCCGGGGACACGAAGAUCAUGCUGAAGUAUGUUCCUAUCCCUGCUUCCUGAUGCCAGAACCCGAGAAUUCCAUGCUAGAACACCAGUCCUAGUCUGAUGCCCACCCAUUGUCCUCACUCUCUUGCACUGAGUUCCAUCCCACACCUGUCAUUACACCAAAUUUCACAAAUUUUUACUCUUUUGAUAAUCUCAGCUACUGAAUAUCGAACUGAUCGCGAAUAUAACAAUGAAAGUACCUGUACUUGCCCAAAAUGGGUGCCAACUGAUAUAUAGGACCCUUCCUUGGUCCAUUGAACUGAACACACACUGUCAUUAGGUCCUAAAUCACACAACUUGGUCACCUAAUAACACAAAAACAAACAAUUUCUACUUCAAUUCUGAAAACCACACUACAAAUUUUACAGUUCAAGUCGGCUGAAGAUUCAUACAGUGGCAAAAUUAAGCUUACUUUGCUGUUUGAUGCGGACCAUAAAUAAACACAAGUUCCCAACCCAACUGCAAGAACGUUCUGAGAGGACCAAUCCACCACGUUCAGAUAGAAGUCAUCUUGCAAAGAUGGUGCAUCCAAAACCUGCAUCAACACAACUAAAAAAAUUCAAACCCUUAACCCCUAAAAAUAUCUCUAAAGUUACAAACUGAGACAAAUUGAAGUACUUUCCCCCUCACCUUGUGAGGAGUCUUGGGGACCUUUCUGGAAGGCUUAGGCGGCGUCGAACCUUCGUUACUACUUCCACUGUCCUGCCUCAGAAUCGACGGCGAGUACGGAGAAUUAGGCCCACCGGAAUGAUCCUUCUUAAAUCUAAGCAUAUUUGGACUUCCCAAACCACCUGCAGGGGAAGAAGAGGCGAAAUCAGAUCCGAAAAGCUCACACUUCAGUAAUCUAGCAUAAGUACUAUCACUCCCUCCUCCUCCUUCUUUAACAGGGGAACCAGACGACGGUGUAUCCAGAAGCCCGAAGGCGUGCAGCCUGGAAGCCGAUCGGCAAGGUAUGAACCGAUCGCCGCAAGUGGAGGACUUGGACGACGGGGACGAGAGGCUGGCGAUCUCCCGCGGGGAGGACACCGAGACGACUCGAAACGCAGGGGAGGAAGGAGAUGGAGAUUUCUUGGAGAUGGUUUCGAGGCGGAGGGAGGUCUGGUUCAUCCCAGCUGGGAGGUUGAGCCCGCUGCUCUUCCUUCUCGAUGGCGUUUCCAUUUUUGCUUUUUCUGAUUUGCGAUUAGGAGGAAGAAUCGAGAUUGAAUCGUGAGAAAAAUGGGAAGUGAUAUCGCCUCUCUGUGUGGAGAAGCAGAGAGGGAUUUCUUCUUCUUUCCGGUGGAAAUUUGCAGAGAAUGGCGUGGGAAAUGGAUUUUGCAACGGUCGAAUUUGGAGUGAAGAUGUAGGAAGGAGCGGGCGGGUCGGAUUUCCCAACGGUCAUUUUUUCACGGCUCGCAACCCAAUAUAUUACAGAUAUCAAUGCUUGUUGGGAAAUAGUAACAUGUUUUCCGCGCUAAUUCGAGCUGCUUUCGGAUGUUUAUAAUGGGAUUUUAUUGGAUUUGGGGUUUUAUUCCGUUUAAUUUCAAUUACCGAAUUUCGAUUAGAGAGGUUGGAAAUUGCUAAAUAUUAUUGACAAAAAUUUGAUGGAUUUAGGGAUUUUUGUCGGCAUUGUAGGUGAAAUAGCCGAAUACGACACGUACAAAUAACUUCUUUAAAAGAAGCAGUAUUCUUAAUAACUUAAUUGUUACCUGAUUAAUCUGUUCGAUUGUGAAAUUUUUUAUCCAACCUCUAGCUCGGACUGAUUUGUUAAAACAUUACUACAAAAAAAUUAUCUAGGUCGAUAUAAACUACCGUUUAUCUCUCAUUAUUCAAACCGUUUAAUUCAAUUUUUGAUACAGGUCCUCAUUCAACCUCUUACUGUUGACCACUCUCGUUCGACAAGAGUGAAAGACGAAUAAUCGUUAGAAAUUAGAAAUGAAGAAAUUGUGAAACCUCACAUAAAACAGGUCACUAAACAAUAAUAAUACAACUUCUGCAGUUCUACUGAAUAAAUAAGAAAAGUUGGAUUCUUCCUAUGAAGUGAAGAUGAACUUGAGAGAGUGAGAAAGUAUGGAUUCCCACGGCAAGCUUUGCAACUGCAGUUAUUCCUGGAAAUGCACCGGCAAGUUUGAAUCGUUUUUACUACUGAAAGCCUUGACAUAUCAAGUAGAUCUCUCUCGAUGACGAUCGUGUUGCCUUGGGCCGUAGCCACGACGCUUUUCUGAAGAGCGGCUUGCAAAUCUUGCUGAAUUCUGCACCAGAAAACCAAUUCUUUUGUUGGAACUAAAAAACGAAAUAUUGGAUCUUGUGCAGUUUUGCUCAGGAUCACGAAUAAGCAUUUAUUCUCACCCUGGAUAUCCUCGCUCUCUAGAAGCUUGAUUACUAGGUGGCCACCCGACAACAGUACACCUCUACCAUUUGUAUCAGAAGCAGAUGAUUCAUCUACCAGCAAUUCGGCUUCUUGAUCAUCAGGAUGGACUGAUGCUGCUGUUCUACCAACUGCGAGAUCGAGUGCUCGCAUUCCUAGCUCCAUGGACAAUGCUGCAUCUUUGGUUGUAAUCCCAGAGACUGAAGGGCACAUGUCUGAUAAUAUGAUCGAAAAUCCUCUUUGCUGCAGAACAACACAGAAGCAAGCAAAUUCUGGAGCUUUACUUGUUGAUAAACUUAAGAGAAAGCAGCCAUCGGAUAUUACAAUGAAAGAGCAUCACACUUGGACGAGGAAUAAAUGCUUAUAUAAGUCCCAAAUACUCUCAUCUCUUAUAGCUAACAGAUUCAAAGCCAAGCACAUAUUCGACCGAAUAAAUUGCGUACACCAGUGUCAUUUGCAUUUAGUUGCGAAAGAAAUGUUCAAAACAAGAAAAUGUUGCAAAAGAGUUCACAUUAGUUCUUCUGCAAAUCCAGCCACUAUAUCCACACAAAGAUGAAUUAAACAACCAACUUAGAGCAAAUGGAUUGAUUCAAUCUACUAUUAUUCAUAGAUGCCAACAUUUCGACAAAACGAAGUGGAAUAAUCACAUAAUAGUCACUGAAUCAAAGGUAAGAACAGCCACAACUAGCACAAGAUGCAAAUUCCUUCAUGGGGAGCACAAAGUAAUACCUUAGGGGAGAGAGCCCUAACUUCAUCCUUGGGAAGCUUCAUCACAUCAGCUGAAACAGUCUGAACCCUGGCAUCACAGUGAGCUGAAGGAACCUUCACUUUCUGUUCUGGAAAAUUCGACAUCACAACACAUCACAUUGUACCAAAUGAAGCAAAGGAUUAUUCACUUCCUUGCACAACUUUUCUCAAGUAGAUAACACACCUUGAGAUCAAUUCCUACUACCGCCCCACCACUUUUUAAUGGACCUAUGCUCUGGCACGCCACCUGAAAAUUUUGAAAUACAAAAAUCAGGACAACUCAAUAAAAAAAAUUGAAGGAAAGCUUGCAACUUUACAGCAGAAACAAAGAGGAGCAAAAGAGUACCUGAAGCCAAGCUCCCGGGGCGCAACCCAGAUCAAGAACAGAUGAUCCAGGAGUUAUCAGCUUGUGCUUAUUCUGUAUCUGAAGAAGCUGGUGCAUUUGGAUUGAAGCAGAGAGUCAGAGAAAGAGAUUAACAAAAAUAAGACGAAAGAUGAUUGAUAAAGUAGGGAAAAUUUUAAACCUUGAAAGCAGAGCGUGCUACGUAGCCGAGACGCUGGGCUUCUUUGUAGAAGAAAUCAGGUGCGCCGGCACCAACCAUAUCUAGGGAAGGAAGGGUUCUGGGUUUUAGGCUUUUUAACCAGAAGAAAACGAAAAAGGUUUUUCUUCUCCCUUUGUGCAAAGUACCAUUUAAGUCACCUUAUUUUGACAGUCUUUUUGUUUAAUCUCCUCUUCAACUUCAAAUAUUAUUUAAAUACUUAAAUUCUCUAUUUUGUUUCUAAUCAGGUUUUCUCUUAAUGGCGUUAUCAAAUUAUUUUCACAUAAAAUGACGUCGGGUUAUGUAUGUUUUUCCUUUAAAACCGAUAGUAAUAUCAACAUUAUCGCUACUUUUAUGCUCUAUAAUUUGAGUUGAAAUAAAAAAUAAAAAAUAUAAUUGAAAUAUCAACAUUUCUUUGCUCAUUCGCUGAAAUUUUAGUUUAUAAUUUCCGAUGUUAUUAGAAAGAAUUACUUUUCAUGAUAUUAAAUGCUAAAUUUCAUCACUGUGCCAAUCAUACUGAAGACACUAAAACCAUUAGCAUGCAAAUAAAUACGAACACCUAAUAUCCAAGACAGUAAUUUUUUUCGAUAACAUCAAGAGUGACGAACUCAAUUUCAAUAUAGUAACAUUUAAAAUAAAAAUGCCUUCAAAAAUAAAUAAUACAUGGAUAUCCAUUUUCUGAAAUAUAUUGAAUUCAAAUCCAGAACCUCUCCGUCAACCAAAACAGCUCCAAAGUGCUAGUAAGUAAGUAGUAACAUUUCGAAUUAGGGGAGAAUUAUUAAGCAAAUAAAAAGGCGGCAGAGGAUGACGCCCAAAUACCUUGUCAAAUAAAAACAAGUAUUUUUCAACUGUGCAAUGCAUUUGGUGAAACAAAAAGGACAUCUGACUUUCCUGCUAAGAAAAUGACAGACACCACUAUUAACAGAUAAUCAUUGUCAAGAAAUGGACAAAAUCAUCAUCCAGGUUGCUGAAAAGUGAAAACCAGGACUUGAAGAAAGCUACUCUUGGUGCUAAAUUAUUAUGUAAAGCAGAAUAGAUCAGCAAAAUGUGAAAUUCUAAGCUUGCAAACCAACACUGCCAUGAAAAUCGAGCUUUUGUCAUCAUUUUGAUUACUCACAGUGACACCAUUUCUAUAACCAAGACUAAUAACUAUCCAUAAAUUUACACUUCUGAAGCCACAAAUGUUUCUGCUCAACAAGAAAAGCUUUGAUAUUUUCCACUUUCCACACGAAAGUCGAUCAAUUCUGCUGCAUUUGCAUCUAUAGAGCUCAUCACUUCCAUUGGCUAUGAGUGAGUUAGCUGCAGGGCUCUUCCUCCCGCUAGUUUUAUUUGUCCCCCCCCCCCCCCACACCAAAAAAAAAACAAUACAAAACAACAAAACACAACAAAAAAAAAACACCUACAAAUAAUCAGAAUAUGACAGAAGAAAGAGACUCACCAUUAGAUGAACAAACUCCAAAAUCAUCCCUGCCUGUUCAUGGCGAUGAACUAUGGAGAGUGGUCUAUGCACUAGCCUUCCACGAAGAGAGAGCAUAAACAAUUCUCCCCUUCCACCCUUGAAGAAACCACUCACCAUCCUCGUCGAUCAUGAAAUCCUUGUUGUAAUUCUCUUUCACCUUCUCCUUCGCAGUGCUAAAUAUCUCCCUGUUCAAAGGCAGUUGUGAGAAUCCAGCCCUCUGAGCUCUGAUUUGGCAUUGCUUGUAUGUUUCCGGCCUCUCCAGUCUCUCGGCACCUUCACAAGCAAUCACAUUCAUCGCCUCCCACCCAAAAAUAUCCCUUUCGAUCAGCAUCCUCUCCGGCAUAUCACGAGGCACAGUCGUCUCCAGCAUAUCAAACACAGUAGAGAAAUGGAAGAGCGCCUCCCGGAAUCGAGUGAUGAAGAAUGGAGCACUGUAUGAUCCAUUAACGAUACCGAGUAUGAAAACCUCCGGAUUCAUCCUCCUCACUAGGUUAAGAACAAUAUUCCUCGGGCAGUCCACCACCACAGUCUCGUCAAGCAAGUUUCUCAACCUGUACAUGCAAUUCACUACCAGCACUUCAUCCUUCUCGAUCUUCAAAUCCUCGAUCUUAAUAGUGUCCCACUUCUGCGCAAUGGCAUUGAACUCAAACGGAACAUUGAAUGUCCUAGCAUAGUUUGCUAAUCGACAGCCAGUCUCCUCAACCCUUUCGGCUGGUCUGAAACCCGGAUUCGGUAAAUCGACUCCGGUGAUUCUAAGUUUCGGAGGUCCACCAGGCAUAGAGGAUAAGCGCUGAAUGAGGCAAGGCCACUGGAAACCAUAUAGAAUCCCGAAAUCAACAAUGUGAAGCUUUUUUGCACGUUGAGCCAAGUUCAUAAUCGUUUUGUUUGAAAAAUAAUUUGACAGCUUCUUGAAUGGACAUGCAGCUAGAAACAGCUGGUAUGCUUUCAAUACAUCGGCAGCUGAGGUCGCCUUUGUGAUCAGUGCUUUGUAAAUUUUGGUUCCGGAACCAGCCAUCCUUGCCUCCAAACCAUCAGCGAAAAUACUAGCCAAUCUUUGCAUACCAUCCCCGGUCGGGGGAGCAUUAUCCCUGAUUUGUUUCAAGAGAUCAUUCGCGUUCCUCCGAUCAUCAGCAGCAACGGCCUGUGCACAAAGAGUUAAGAGUGUCCUUAAAUCCACCACGUUUUUCUUAGUUCCCCCCUGCCUCUUCCCUCGAGCUUUUCCACCAUUAGACGAUUUCGUUAGUUUAUUCUGCACUGCAGUCCUGUUCUUCUCACUCUCCAUAGCUGCACGAAGUGUAGCUUCCGGAUCCUGAGCACAGUUAAGCAGUAUCCUGUCGAAGUCUUCUGAACUCACAGUUGAUUCCGAAGAAACUGCUGACUGUUUACUACUUCUUGCUGCUCCUUCUAAGUUUAGAUACUCAGGAUGCGGAUUCUUUUUCCCCCUUGGCUGCUCAAAACAGUAGUUAUUCUCAAGUUUAUUAACCACUUUGAUUUCUCCUUCCUUAUUCUGCUCCUUCAAAUCUUUCAGAGAGAUCCUGGUACUUUCCAUGUCAAAAAGCAAACUAGCUCUGGGGAUGAACUUACUUGCCUCCUCAAACCCCCUCCUAAACUGAUCGGCAGAAUUGGAUUCGGUAAACAUGUCGGGAAUUAUGAUAUUGCUCACUGGAGAAUCCGAGCUCUGUGCUGUAAGCGAAACAGAAUAGGAAGCAUUCCUAGUGGACGAUCUACACUCAUCCACGUCAUAACUCCGGCCAGAAUCAAUCAAACUACUACCAGAACUGAUGCAGCUUGAGUUACUAGAACAAGCUCGACGAUUUGAAUCAUGCUGAUCAUCUAAACUAUCACGGUACUGAUCAGGGUGAGGUAUCGGCUCAGUAACAGAUAACGGUGGAUAUCUUUCCCCAAUAAGCUCAUAGAGUGAUUUCUCAGCAGCCUGAAGUGCAGCUGAGGACUCCUGAAACAUACAUGUUUUCUCCUCCAUGUUUUCUUCCAUGAGCAUAUCAUCAAUAUACUUAAGAACCACAUCGUUGAAGUCGAAAUCAUCACGGGACGACUGUACAGCUUGGUUUAUACUAGGAUGAAUGGGUGGCAAAGGAUCAUUGUGCGGCAAAAGGUUCUUAUUGACAAGAGUAUCGCCUGAUUUCAGCCCGGAAAUGAGUUUCCUAGUAGUUAAAGCUGAAACCGCUUCAUGGCUGAGCUUCAAUCCAUUGACAGAAUCAAACAAGCCCCCUAAAGAUUGAUCCAUAAUGGAAUUCUCUAUAUCCUAUAACCAGUUUCUCCACAAGCAUAAAUCCCAAACCCUAAAAAAAUACCAUACAAAGAGAGUCACCGACCUUGAAUCAGCCUUGAUUAUGCCUUGAGAGUUCCCAACUCUUCACAACCCUAAGGAAUAAAGAUUAGAACUUUGAGAUGCUAAUGGAAAAAAGCUAUCAAACAUUUUCAUUUCAGCUAUUUGAGUCGAAUCAAAACCAAAUAUUAGUCAACAUCGGAAAUAUGCAUCGAACCGUUGUAAUGAAAACAGCGGUCAAUCAGCAACGACUGGGAAAUGGAACGGCCGCAAAGUUGAACAAGCUACAUAUUCCGAUUGGCUACUUAAUGAAGGAAACAUGAAAACUGAAGUUUACCUGGAGAAGGAGGAGUGCUUGGAGGAGGAGGAGGGAAAUACUUGGAGAAAGAAAGAGGAUUGAAAGUAACGGGAAGAACGUGAAAAAGCUGCUCUGUUUCAGAGCGCAUCGGAAAGAAAAAUCAUAAAAGCGCUUUGAGGAAAAGGUUGAGACUAUUUCAUCUACUAGUUUUUCUGGGUCGAGUUUAAUCUGUUGACGGCGCCCAAGCUCCAUUCCCGGGGUCUAAUUUGAUUACUACGCUGACACGGAUACGCACUACGCAAUCACUGGCUCGUCAUUGGAGAUGCAGCAUAGAGCCACAUAGACUCUUUCAUCGCAAGUAGGGUUUCUCGCUCAGGAUGGCGAGAGGUGAUGUUUUGGGCGGCUAGUUGUGAACAUUCUAAUGUAGUUUUUGAGGUUGACUCAUCAGAGGUAGCGACAACAAGCGUAUAGGGCCUCAUGGAUUUCGGUUAUAUUAUCAUUUUUUUGUACUGAUCGUCCAUGAGAUUUCUCAUCAAUCUUUUUUCUUAGCAUUACCGAUUAUUUGACAUGUAGCUUUUCAUUAGCUCGAAAAUUACACUCUCCUAUAAGCAUAUAUAAUUUAAUUUGGAUGGGUGCAUUCAGGAGGUGGAUGUUGUCCACCAAAAUGAAAGUGCGUAACUACACCAUUUCAGAACGAAAAGAGAGAUGAAUGCAUCAGGGUGAAUUAGAAUUCAGGGGAUGGUCCCAGUUGCAAUUAUGGAGGAAUGGGAUUCACAUUUCAUGGAUUAAUUUAAUCGAUUUCCACUCGGACCUGCUGGUGGAUUACACGAGUUAUGGGGUACCAAUUAAGUCCAUAUAGAAGUCCAACAACCUUGGGUCAACCAAUUCCAGAAGGUCCCAAGCCCUACAGAGAAGGUAUAAGCCCAAUAGAGUUUCUGGUCCAAGCCCAAUGGAACUUGUCAACAACCAACUUGUUCUACAUUCAUUGUCCAAUGAUUGGUUUCAGUUAAGGAUGUCAAUGAAACAUCAUGAGUGAAAUGUGCUUAGAAAAUUAACUCAACAUCUGCAUUCCAAUAUCCAACAGGAGAAAAAUGCUAAUAAGUGGAAAAUAUCAAGAUCAAUCAUACUUCAAAUGACCAGAGAUGAUAUCCACUGACGACAGAUGUAAACCUUGUUACAUUAUCCAUAACGACUCACACUUUUACCAUUUAGGUUAUAUAUAAUGGUUAAUGUUAGAAUUAUCAUCAAGAUGCCGAAGUUUCUCAACUGAAUCUCGGCACGAAUUGACCGUAAAAUGAAGAAUUGAUUGUUUACAAAAUAUAACAGGAAGGGGUAGUUGUGACAUUAAUCGAAUUCUAUGGAGGUCUGGUGACUCAAUUUAUAUAAAAACGAGUUCAUACGAGUCAUUAGUGCACUUCAUUAGCAUCACCAAUUUACAUGAAUGGCGUAUGUCCCUCUUCUUCUCCGACAUCUGGCCACCUUCUUUCCGGUCAUGUAGCGGGGAGCACACACGACUCCCUACGGCCUACAUCAUUAUCAUUAAGAAGGUCAUCUUGCAUGUUCAAUUCUAAAAAUCUCUCCCAUGAACCCGAGAGCCUUAUUAGCUUUUCUUUGUUAGCAUCACACACAAAAUCAAAGCUAUCGUAAUAUGUCCACAAGUUCUAAUAUUGUUGGGCAACUACGAAAUUUAAAAUUAGAUACUUAUUUAUAGGAAUAAAACUCAUCUUAUAACCAACCAUUUAUCACUUUAUACUCAUACCGUAAUAAACAAUUUAAUUAUUCCUGAAACACCAUAAUUAAACCAAAAAUAUCAUAAAAUAAAAGACUAUACAACCAACCCAUGUCCAAAGUCAAAUAGGAUUCCAUUCCCACACACCCAACCAACCCACCAAUCUCAAAAGAAUUUGGCAUUUUUUAACUUAUGAAAACAUCAGUUGCCAGACAGCAAAGACCACUGGAUUACUACUAAUAACAAUACAUUUAUUUGUCCUUGCCCCAACUUCUUGUUCUUAUUCUAAAAUAAAAUAAAAACCAUAAAGAUAAGAGCUUUCAGCAAAAACAAGGGAGUUGGUUAGGUUGGACAAACAGUAAAGCAACAGCAGGAAUCAACAAUAUAAUAAUAAAAAGGAACAACAAGACUUGAGGGAUUAUAUUUGGUUGCUUGAGUCGUACGGAACUCAAAUUCAAGCAUCAGACUUUUCCCAGAUCAAGCAAGCAUACGUUUGGUUCGUGGCCUAAUAUCCUCACAUGGCGGUUGCGUGCAGGAAACAAAGUAGAAAGAACCAAACUUCAAGGGAAGUUUCUUCAAGCUUUUACCUUCUUAAGGAUUGCGAUUCAUCCACGUGUCGAUAUGUCAUUGGCGUCGAACUUCAUCACUUGUAUUAUGCUCGAUAGAGAUAAACAGAUGUAAAACUGUUCCAUUUCUAUCUUUCUAUGUAUCUAUUACAGAAAUCUAAUGAAAGAAUGACAACAUCAAAUAAUGUUCAAGUUAGGUGAGACCACUUGGGUCCCAUUUAUUCCCCAAGUUGAAUGAAUUUACAAGAUGCACAAGCUCCCCCAAGUGCCCUAAGGGGGGAGAACUGGCAAUGAAUUUUGUUGUAAAAAUAUCUGUCACACUGUAUUACAAUUGGGAAAAAAUUCUGAAUAUCAAAUCGUUCUUCUUCGUUUUUUUUUGUACAUUUUGAUGUUCUUUGUUCUUCUUCUUCUUCUGUUCCCUUCUCCUUCCUGUCAACGAGUCGUUUCCUUUUGUUUUUUGCACACUAUACCAAGUCAGAGACAGUAAGAUGUUCGUUCUCUCGAACUAAACCGUCUGGCCGUCUGUUAUCUGGAGGACGGCAGAGAUGGCGGUCAUAUUAGCAGCUUGGAUUUUGGUUUGUUGCCUAGCUUGAUGCUGAGACCAGUAGCCGUGAGCGGCCAGUACUCGGUCCAGAAGUUCCUGAGGAACUGGCUCCCCGCGUCUUUGCUGCGGAGCUAUCUUGGCUGUGUGGACCAAUGUCUUCCAUUUGUCCUGAACCAUCCAAAUAGUUCGAGAAAUUCAGAUGUCAGCUCAAUUGAUAUGAUGAUGUGAUAUUUGUAAUAUAUUUUUAAGUACGUGGUCUGUACCUUCAAGUCUACGUAGGUCCGAUGGUCAGCAUUGUCGAAAGAUCGCAACUUAACAUCACGCCACCUGCAAAACAAACAGAAAGAAAUUACUCGGAGACCAAAUUCGUCAAAAAUGCUUAGUUUAUAUCGAAAAAGAAGAAGUUUUUAUCUACCUUCCGGUGCCGAGUUCCUCAACUGCAUGAACAAGGGCCUCUACUUCCGAGACCGAGAACGGUCUUCUGGUUCGACGCUGGACAUUUUCUGACCGCCUACAUUUCUGGUUAAGUGGGAGAACAGCAAGUGGUUCACUGCUCGCUGGCUCAACUGCAACCAGAGCUUUGGAAUCAUCUGAUGGUGAUUUGUUAAUUACAGUGUCAGCAUUAGUGGAAAGUGGUUCCUGAUUAGUGUUAAUAUGGUCAGCCAGAUUUUCUGGCAGUGGAAGGGUAAGGUAGGGAUAGUCUAUAGGAUUCUGUGACUCUACGAUCCUAGUGGCUGGGGACCUGAAAAACGACAGACAAGUUCAUCAAACUAUUGUAAUAUCUUGUAACUUAAGCUUUUGCCUUGUCUUGCAAGGCAAGCAUGAUACCAAUACUCCUUAAGAGUCACUACAAGAGAACCAAUACCUCGGUAUGAGCUGGGAAGUGUGAGACGGUAAGAUGGCAGGAAGCUCUUCAGUGCGCAAUGGUGUAGGAGCUUGCACUGAACUAGACUCCAAAGUAAAUCCCAGAGAGUCAAGAUUUUCUGAAGAAGAGAUGCCAGUCUGCAAAAGGGUUCUGUUAUCAUCUCUAACCUUCUUUCCAUGGUGAAUAACCCCAACACGUAAACUACCACCAAGUAUGGCGGAGACAGCCUCCACAAUAGUUCUCUGUUGAAAAGUAAAACUUCACCAUUAAUCGAAGGACCGAAGUGAAAUGCAGGAUGAAAAAUGUACUCCUGGAAGACGAGGAAAAGACUGAAGAUCAAUCAAUACCUUCAGUGAGCCAACAGUUGCAGUUUCUGGGACCUCAAUGAGAAGCUCUGGGAUUUUGAAGGACUUGAUGCUCAGUUUAACUGGAACAAGAAAUUAAACAACACAUAAGAAUCCUUGGAAUCCAAGUCAACCAAAAUACAGGGGCACCUCCAUCAUUAUUCAUCUCAUUAAGUACCAUGAGAAUCCUUUGGGUGAAGCUCCCCUUGAUGACCAAUAACUGGGGACGACAUGCCAUUCUCUGCAAAUAAUAAUCGUAAAAUGUCAGAAAGCCAGAUUGAAGGAGAAAGGUCAGAGAAAAAAACAGAGAAUUUAGAAAUGAAGGAGUAGAAAAAACACCUCUAUUUAACAUGACUCGUGAGCCAUUGUCUCCUGACAUGCCUUUUCCUGGUGAAUUACAAACACUUUCGCUGCUAAACCCCCCAUCGGAAGCUAUUACUAAGCUACGGUCAGAAAGCUUCCUCCUUUUGUAAAGAAUGUCAUACUGACGUCUAUCGUAAUUGCAAGCCAACUUCCUCUUGUGAUAGAUAGGCUUCAUUCCCCCGUCUCCAAUUGCUGAAAUACAAAAAUUACUGUCAGAACAAUGAUAUAUAACUCAAUACCACACAUGGACCAGAAAAAAUAUAUGCUAACAGCCACUUACCGGGUCUGGUUAGUUCGUAGUCUUUCAGUUUAGGAGCUGAUUUCCAGUAUUUGGAUGACAGUAACUUUCUUAUUCUGCUGUCUACAAUUCGCGAAGAAGGCCUGAAAGCCUUUCUCCGGUUGCUUUGCUUAUUAUUAGACCUAAAUAAAUUUUCAUCAUCAUCUUUAACAUCUAAUUUCACAUUGUUGUCUUUGAUCAAUGCAGGAUUCUUCAUACAUGACUUCUUGGGAUCCUUUGAAAUGCAGGCAUUCCUGAGCAUUGACCCUCCAGUUUCCAGCCCAUCAGCAAGUAACUGUCUUCUGACUCCACUUUUUAAAUAUCCAUCACGUGGUUCUACAGAAGCAGGAGAGUCUCCUUCCACCUCAGCUGGUAAUUUCUCACAUAGGAUGGGCUUCUCAUCACAACUGAAUUUCACUGAUGAAUCAGAUUUCGAGACUGUCGAAAAGCGUUCCAGAAUGGAAUCACUCUCAGCUGGGGGUGGAGUGUCCUUUAAAUUGGGGAGGAAAAUACUCUCUUUGCAGCUUCCCAGAUCAAAGCGCUCCGUUUUCACAGGGUGAGUUUCUUCAACUUGCUCUCUUUUGACAAGAUCAUCACUAAUUGCAGGACGAUCAUUUGCUGCAUCGGAAGCGUUACUAGAAGCCGAUGAGCUUUGGGUCUCCAGCAAUAGCUGUCCGGCUAAAGAAGCAAGCAACUCAAAUGCGCACAGUUGACUAUCCUCAACGAUCCUCUUAUGAAAACCCCUCUGGCAAAGAGGAACCAUGAGAUAGAUAACAAUUGUUAGAGAAUCGUUGUUCAAAUGCAAUACGAGAGUAAAACUAAGAAACCGCAUCUGUACUUACUCUAGCAGAUCUGGGAGCUUUGGGGACAAAAGGGAAGUGGACACCGCUAAUGCCAUGAUGCUGCCUCUUCUUCAACACCAUAUUUGAAGCAUACGUAUCAGAGUAGUUCAGGUGACACUCAUCAAGCAAUAAGCAUUGCAAUCUGGAUCUACUGCACUGUCAUUAGGACACCAGUCAAAAAGCUAAUUAAGGUUCAAAUUUAACCUUCCAUUUUGAAGCUCAUGUCAAACAAAUAAAGAAAGGAAAGGUUGAUUCUCUUAUUGAAUCCAGGUCAUCCAAAUAUCGAUCCAUACAAAUCAAUCACGAUCCACUAUACAAUUCUCACCUGAUCAAAGCAUAUCGAAAUCAAGCGUAAUUUGAAUAGAAUUUGCACCACGAAAACGAGGAAACCAAUACGAUCUUCAAAAAUAACCAUGGGGAUAGUGGAAUCAGAACAUUUCCGACUAUCAAGUAGCACAAAUCUAUUAACGGAGCGAUCACGACAAUUCAACAAGCAGCUAGAGGACAAUAAGUUAGUUCCAGAAUACAAACGAUCAAUCUACCAAUAAUCAAUCAAGAAGAAGAAGAAGAAGAAUCAGUUUUAGAAGAAUCAACUCCAAUUGCGGUAACUGCAGCUCCUGGAAUUCAAAACAAAAGGAAGCUUCUUGGUUUUUUUUAAAAAAAACACAACAAUUUCAAAAUUCCUUUUGGGAACUGUAGCUCCCACCGAAAUCCAUAAUACUGCCAUAGCCACACGUCCAUGAUCAGAUCCCGAUCUCAGCCAAACAAAGCAACAAUCCAAUGCUUCUUUUUCCACAAUUUCACAGCGAGAUCAAAUUGCAGACAAAUUUCAAAACUGAAGGACAGCAGCAGCAAAGAGAGAUGGAAGAAAGUAGGAAUUCACAAUUCAGCAACAAUCUGAUACAACAACUGCAAAUUACUGACCUCGAGAUGAACGUCGAUCUUCGAGUUAUAAGCGCAAUUGAGCAAAAUAUGUACAACUAUCGGUGAGAUGAGAUCAGAUCGGAGAGCAGAGAAGAAGAGAAAUUCAGCUCAAUGCAAGAUGGGAGGAGAAAUCAGAAAUGAAUCUGCUGCUGCAUCAUCACAAAUCUCUCAGAAUUAUACACACAGCUCCAUGGUUUAAUUGUUGUAUAUUCAAUUUUUCUCAACUCAUUUAAUUAGUAAUUUUUCAUUUUUGUUUUCUCUCUGCCAAGAAUAAACAGAAAAACCUCUCGAGAACCAGAGGGUGGGGGAGGAAACCAUGAAAGAAACAGCGGCUUAGCUUAAACCCCUUCUUGUUUCUCCUUUUUUUUUAUAAACUUUUUGACCACAAAACCGGAAGAACCGGUAACCCGGGUCACCCGAUAAACCCACCCUCUUCAAACGCUGAUGGGUUUAAAGAAAAGAGCACACGUGGCGGCCUGAGAAAAUUUGUAGAAUUUGUUCAAAGAUAAGGGAUUUGUUCUUUGUGGGGUCAAAUUUUAACUGCAUUUUGGGGGAAAAAAUGAGAUGAUAAUAAAUGAAAAUGAAUUUCAUGGAGGGACUGCUUUCUUUUCAACGAAUAUUCCAAUGUACUAAAAAUAUUUAAUAAGCAUCCCCAAUUAAUAUAUUUUAACAGGGUACGCCUGAUUGGUUACUAAUUAGGUUAUAGAUUUGAACUUAGAUGAUUAAUUAUGAUUUUAAUUGUAAUUAAAAUAGUUCCCACCCGUUGGAUCGAAAUGAUGAUUAACCUUCUAGCUACUUCCUAACAAGGAAUUUAUUGUGGUAAGGUAUUAUGGUGUCAUUUAAGUAAACACUAGCAUGAGGUUUAUUUUUUUAGUUUGUUAUUUUCUUUCGCCCUUCAUUAAUUCGCGUAUAUUAACAAUAAUUUGAUAUAAAAAAUUAUGUAAAUUCGAUUUUAUUUAAUAACCAGUUUGUUUCUUGAAUUUAUCUGAAUGCGUGUUAUAAAAAGUGUAUUUCACAAUAUGGCUAGUUAUAGAAGAAGUAUUGUUUUAUCAUAGAUAGUUAUAAAAAGGAGAGAUAAAGAUGAUAAAACAAUAAAAUAUUAAAUAUUAGUUUAUAUUGUAAGAUCGAUCUCUACACGAUUUGAAAGAUAUAAAAGAGCUAGUUGCGUCAUUUUAUAGACAGCUCAGUAUAAGUGGAAUGCCUGGCCACCGGCUGCAUCUGUAAAUGUAGGCACGCGACCAUAAAAGUAAAGAACAUAGCUAUAAAAGAGUCACUAUAAAAUAACAAUUAUACCAUCGAAAAAAAAUUAAAAAGAAUAAUUAACNNNNNNNNNNNNNNNNNNNNNNNNNNNNUUAACUUCACGUCCUCUUCAAUGUCUACUUACCAUACGACGAGAAAAUACAAAAGUACCACUAACUGAGGAGAAAAGUAAGAAAAUUUUGAAAAACGUAAAAGUACAUACUUGAAUGGACUCCACCAUAAGAACAAUUGCAUUGCAAUGUGACCAGCUUAUAGUGUUUGUCCACGUUUCUAGGAGAAGCAUGCACUUACUUUAUCGCAAUGAAAAUAUUAAUUAAACUUAUAAAUUUAGAAAUUAGGAUCAAAGGCGGACAUUAAGGUUAUUAAUUAAGAGGAUUAGUGUCAGAUUUGACAUGUUGGUGAAUAUGAUGAUGACAAAAAAAACAGGUUGGAAGGGGAGGGUGCAGGAGAGAGAUCCUUUGUUUCAUUUCACUAUUAAUUACUUAAAAAUUAAUUAACUACAAUUGUUGCUUAUUAAAAUUGCCAACCUAGCUAAUUAGCUCCCUCUCUCUUUCAUCUCGAUCCCAUUUCUCUGAAACUACCCCACUGUAUUCAAAUUGGUCGGGAUAAGGUACAGUAUGGAUGUUUCUAGGUCGCAUCCUUCAUACGUGUAUAUACGUACCAUUUUUAUCCAUUAUCAUUGGACAUUUUGUGGACGUUAGAUUAUCAUAGUGGAAGGUCAAAUUUUCGUUACAAAAAGCUAUUUGCAAUAGACAAAAAUCACAAGGUGCAUGUAGCAAGUUUGGAUCGAUAUUUAAGUUGAUUAUAUGACUAUUUUGUUUUUGUAUGUGAGAACUAUCGAUGAAAAAAUGGAUCAAAUUCAACCAUACAUUGCUAAACAUGAUGUAGUUGAGUGAUUGUAGUGCUUAGAUUUAUGGUCAAAGAUUCUGGGUUCAAAAUCUAAAAUGCGCAUUCAUAUAAUGGUGGCGAAACUGGGAUAGGAAAAUCUAGACUAUCGCUCAAAGUGUAUAUAAAAAUUUCAAAAUUGAAAUUUAUAUCAAGUUUUUAACUUAUAGAUUAAAUGAUAAAAUGUAUGUCUUGUAUUUUGAUACAUACUAAUUGUUAAGCCCAAAAUAUAUAUUUAUCUUUAAUACGACCGAUCAAUUACGUUCCGGUUGCAAAUGGUAAAUAUAAAUACUUUGAUUAAUUACUAACUCUAAACACUAUCUAGAGCUAGAGACAUUGCCUUGGAAAAACAUUACAUUCGCCGAUAAAAUCUAAAAUUCUCAAAAUUAAAGUUUAUAUUGAGUUUUUAUGAGUUACACCUUCGAAUUUGAGAUCCUCAUAAACUCCAUAACCAUCCUCAUUCUGACUGGAUAAGAGUAAAAAUAACAAAAUGUAUGUAUAUCUUGUAUUUGAUUGUAAGUGUUCAGUACUCUAAUUUUGUUAUGCCACGUACGUUAUCACCAUUUAACUAAAGGAAACUCUAUGUACAGUUGUUGUUAAAUUAGGGUUGAAAGUGCACCACCAACUACAAAUCCAUACAACCACCUCCACCAAACUUUAAUUUCAGCCUUAACCAGCACACAACACAGAUUUUCAUCGUUUACAAAACCAGAAACCUGAUUAACCUUUUGUUUCAGCUGGUGUAGUGUAGGCAUUGUGGGGGAAUAUUAUCGAUGGCGUCAGUUGCAAGGAAAAACGAUUCCUGCCAACUUUCUUUCUUACUAUCCGCCUCUUUUUGUUUGUAAUUGUAUGUAUAUGUGAUGCCGGUCACUGGAUCUUUCCUAACCGAGUUUUUGUUUCCACCACGGUUGAGAAUAUGAGGAGGCUGAGGCAGCCGUUAGACGUAUGAGGUACCAUCGUGGCAUCGUGCAACGAUAAUUUCAGAAUUGUUCAAUGCACGGGAUUUGGUUAUAUAUAAUUUCGAACUUCACCUGCCAUCAGGUUGAAGAAGAAGGACAAAAUGGGUAGGUGGCAGUUAGCUGUUGCUUGUUGCAGUAAUUCUCAAAAUUGGGCUCAAACUCUGUAGCCGAAUAUUAUUCCAGGAGCAGGCCCACGUGAAAAAGGCCUAUGGGGUUCACCCAAAGAAAUGCCAGCUUCUAUGGCUUUUGCCUGUUAUUUUGAUGGGCCGGAUAUAUAUAGCCGGGACAGGCCUGCGAAUCAUUGAUCUUUUUCUGAACCUAUACUUGCUUGGUCUUGGAUAGCUUCACAUACAAAUCAUAGAUUAGGGCGAGUCGAUCCGCUCGUUAGCAGUUCGGUUUGAAAGAAUUCAUUGAUAAUUAGCUCAUCUUAAUAAGUCAAAUUUGAGUCGAAACUUGAGUCACGGAAUGCUCGACUCAAUAAAUUCAAGAGCCGGCUGAAGUGUUAACUCAAAUACCAAUCCGAUUAUAUCAUUUGUUACUAAACUUAAUAAUACAACUUGCGUUCUGUCUCAAAUAUCAUAGAACAUAAAAUCAUAUACACCAUGCGUGAUUCUGCUAAUAAAAACUAAAAAGUCAAGUAAUACAUAAUUUAGGUUUAACAAUUUUAUAAAAAAAAAAAAAGGUAAAAUUCUGAAUAGUUUUGUUCGCUUGACUCGUUGAGGUUUUAUAACGUACAGAUUUCAGAUUCAAUUUAGAUUGAGCUCGCUAAGGGGAUUAUUAAUGAGAAAAGUUCGAGUUGCAUUUAAAAUUGACUUGUUAGGGAUAGUUAAUAGAUCAACCUCGAAUUGGCUCGAAUUCGACAUUAGGUUCAAUUUCUCAGAUCAAAUACAAAUUGAAAUUCAACUCCGCUCGAUCGUGAACAAGCCAAUAUCAUUUUCUGUCUGGCAUAGUUCUGAGUACUUGAUGAAUUCUGCUUAAUCUAAUUAACGCUAAAUUAGCGCUCUACUCUAGAGAGACAAGCAACCAUUUACUUUGCUUUGAUUUGUUAAUGUUGCUAAUUUUUCCAUUCAUUAAUGAAUUAUAAUGAUGGGUGGUUAGGUUAGUUGAUGUCGCGGCCGGUAGUUAAGUAGUUUAGUCGCCUUCCAAUCAACAGUGUCCACUCUCUCGAUCCCAACCAUCUCCAAAAACAAAAACAAUCCACACCCAAUUUUAAAAAUCGAGAAGUAAUAAAAUUAUAAAAAAUUAGAUCGUGUUAUAAAACUAAGAGCGAAAAAGAAGACGAGCGUGGGAGAAGAGAAUGUUUUUUAUUGAGAUGUUUAUAAAAUGCUACAAAUGAUAGCUUUAUUUAUAAGUUUAUGGAUCAUAAUCUAUACUCUCUAAUAUUAUUACACAUAAAGGUGGGAAAAUAAAUAAAUAAAAUACAUUGAAGAAUGAAAUAAGAAGUUACACGAUGGUUCAUUUCCUAUAGUAAUUAUCUUUAUAAUAAAUCGGAAGAAAUGAAACAAACAAUUUGCAGAAAAAAUUAUAGACCCACGACGGGGAAAAAUCUCCACUAUGAUACAGAAGUACAACUCUUAGGAAUCUACAACAACUCAUAUAUUGCAUAUGACUAAGAAAAUGGUAUUUGUGCCGUGAUCGGUGAGACGGGUACUAUAACUCACAAUCUUUAGAUCGUUUAAUUUUCAUCGGUGAUGGUUUAAUGUACUCGGUCUUAUUGUAUAGAAUUUGAAAUGCACCGGGCCACAUAUGAAAAGUUUUACUAAUUCGUCUCAAAAUAUAAAGAAAUUAUGUAAUAUUGAAACUCUAAACUAAAAAAUAAACUAGACUGGUGGCAUGAGAAAAGCUCUCCUAAAUUCACCACUGUCAAUUUAACUAUUCAACGAAAUUUGAUCACCAAACUUCAACCAUACGUCCCCUCGAUCUCUACAGACAUAACUAAUUUUAAUGGCUCGAUUUGUAUAACUAUGGAAUCACAUAAUAAGUAGCACUUCAAGAAAUCGAAAUUCAAUAUAUAUAAUCAAAGUGAGAGUUGGUAAAGCUAGGAAAGGUUGAUGAUCAUGCUUGAUUGGUGGGUUAGGAAGAUAUAUGAUUGCAAAUAUUUUUGCUUGUUGAAGAAAUUUGGAACAUGCAUCUUUAUAGGGGGUUGCGUAAAGAUGAACGAUAUAAGUAGAAUUCAACAUGGGACGAUCGAUGGAACCCUUUGGCCCAACAUCAUGGUCCCAUAAAGGGGUUGGUUAGCUAGGUUUGUGCGCAUGAGAAUAAUUCAACCCCAAACUCCCUGGUAGCUAGCUUACGGUGCCACAACAUACGCGACCUGAUUUCUAAUUGUUGUAAAAAAAUUGAUUUGAUAAAAAGUUUUGAGUACACAUAUUCCAUGUCUUUAUCACCUUCUUUACGUACUCUUGACCGUGCAUCCACCUCAAUAUAUCCUCUUCCGGCAAAGUCAAUACUUCAGCUUUCCUGAACGGGAGGCUGCCCGGCCGAUCGAUGAACCAUCUUGACCAUAUAACGAAAGUAGGUAGUUUGCAUAAAAGGAUUUGGUGUUACUUUAUUAGUACUAAUUAUACCAAGCUUAAUGGACCAUAUGAUGAAAAUUAAAGAGUUGUAUGUAACGAUUUAGACCAUCAUACUCACUUUUAGUACUCCAUUGUAAUUGUUUUGGAUUGAACCGUCAUAGACACUUUUCUUAAGCUCCGCAUAAUGCAUGCAUAACGAUCCUUACCUUAUAUUCCACUUCAAGUCAUGAAUUAAUAUAUUGCAUUAAUCAUCAAAAUUUUACUUAUUACACAAAAAAUAACCCACACCAUUUAAUUUGUACAUAGCGGUCUUUAAUCAUGUUGGUCAAAAUAUUCUAUAUAUUAAAUAUAUGUCGUCACAUGAUGCCAAGUGUACAAGCUUUUGUUGGAACAUUCACAUGAUGCAAUGAGUCAUUAUCCAUAUCGGAGUACACGGAGAAGUCUAGAUUUUCUUUCAAUUUUGCAUCGCAGUGGCAAACGGAUCCCAAAGCUAAAAGUACUGCUCCAGUGGGUAGGUGAUUCCGUCACAAAAUGAAGUACGUAUAAUACCAGUACGUGGCGUAUCUAUGAGUCGAAAGCUACUAAGAUUCGACACCUUGGCAUAUAUCAUCUCAUGACGUCAAAUUAAUUAGGCACUCAACACAUGCAUGCAUGCACGCACGCUAAACCUACCACCGUCGAUUUAUGACGCCUUUUAAUUCCCACAACUGCACCCGCCCGCCCGCUCGUUCUUCAUUAUGUGAACUAUAAUAUAUACAGGUUGAAUACAAUUACAAAUUAAUAUAUGUUUAAUUGGUUGACUUCAAAAAAAAAAAGAAAUAUUUUGUUCAAAAGCUAAUGGGUGAUAGAGUAAUUUUCUAGUAAGGUAGAGAACUAAAGUCACCUCCUCACAAGUGGCUUCGAUCUUGAGGUAGCUACAAGUUAUAGUAGCAAGUGGUUCUCGUUUUCUGGAACAAUAUAUGAUCAAGUUUACUUGAAAUUGAGAUAGUCCUCGUUGCAAGCUAGAUUAUCUAUAUUGUUAUCUAUAUACAUAUAAAUUAUGAGGUGUGAAAACUACAGUAUUUGAUAUGAGAAUUAUAAAGUCGGUUAAAACUGAAGGCAAUAUAUAGCUCUUUUUCUAGUGAUAUGAAUUUGGUCGUCCCGAAUCGGGAAUGGAUCGAAAUUUGUGAAAGAACAAUCCAAUCAUAUCAAUUAUAGAUCUUUUCAGUGCCAAUGUCCCUACGGACAUCAAAAACGAGAUUUUCUCGACCUCUGACUUUGACCCGAUUGGGUGUCAUGAUAAGUAUUUGGGUGUGCCUACUGAGUGGGGUCGCUCUAAAGAUGAGACCUUCUCCUUCCUCCACUAGCGUAUGGAAAACAAGGUCAAGGAUAGAAAGGUAUGCUUCUCUCUCAUGCCAGAAAGGAAACCCUACUCAAAUUAGUCACUCAAUCCAUCCCCACCUAUAUCAUGAGCAUGUGUUUGCUGCCUAAGCGUAUGACUAAAAAGAUGAAUGCCAUGAUUCGCAAUUUCUUCUGGGUUGGUUCCACCAAGAAGAAGACCAUUAACUGGUGUAAGGGGACUAGAUUGUGUGCCCCCAAAGUGUGAAGGGGGGCUUGGGUUUCGGGACUUCCGCCUUUUCAAUUUGGCUCUCUUGACGAAGUAGGGUUGGCGGCUUAUCACUUCUCCUAAGGGGUUAUCUGCACGGAUCCUUAAAGGCCUCUACUUCCCCAAUGGCUCCUUCCUGGCUGCCGGUAAAGGGUGGCGAACCUCUUGGAUUUGGUCUAGCUUGUGUGAGGCUCGUUCAACUCUAAACCUUGGGGUUGUUCGAGUUAUUGGCUCGGGAGACUCGACCUCUAUCAGGGUCGACCCUUGGAUUCCCUCCCUUCCACAUUGUCGGCCUGCUCUUGGCCCUGACGAUUUGACUGUUGUGGCUAAGGCCUUCUCUCCCUCUCGCGAGUGGGAUACAACAUUCUUAGAGAACUUUUGCUCCUCUGAGGAGGUUGAGGCUAUCUGUCGGGUGCCCAUUGGGCCGGUUGGAGCGAGUGAUUUAUGGGUUUGGAGAUUCAACCAAAAUGGGAAGUUCACGGUCAAGUCUGCUUAUCAUGUGUCCCGUCAGCAUUCUAACAGGUUUGACCAAGGAGUGAACCCUUUCCAGAUUGAAUGCUAGAACUGGAUGUGGAAGCCCCUCUGAAAGUCCUUUUCUUCUUGUGGAGAUGUGCCGCCAAGGCUAUUGCCACCAAGCUCAACUUGUUUAGAAGACGUUGCUCUCCUACACCUUUGUACCCUCUGUGUGGUCUCGGGGAAGAAUCUAUCAGUCAUUGCAUCCUUUUUUGCUCUCAUGCUGCAUCCACAUGGUCAUCUUUGUUUUCAUUUUCUGGUUCCUCCGCAAGAUGGUGACUUUGAUGACUGGUUCUUCUCCCAAAAGGGCGAACCAAGCUCGUUUCUGUCCAAGACCGCUUUCAGCUGCUUGAAUAUUUGGAAAGCUCGGAAUGCAUUUGUGUUCAACGACGACCACCCUUUUCCCGUGCGCACAGCGAGCCUUUGUAGCAAGGAAUGCAUGGAAUGGGAAUCUUGUCUUAUCCCCCCUCUUGUUCCUGGUUUGGUGGCUAGCUUGACCCACCCCAUCAUGUGACCAACCCCCCGCCAAGCAAUCUCCAAGUAGUGAUCCACUAUGAAGGAUCAUCUUUACAUGAUUUUCAGAAGGCGGCAUAUGAUGUUAUCGUUUCUGAUACCCAUGAAGAAGUCAUUGAUGGGAAAACGGCCACGUUCCUCUGUUCUUCUCCUUUUACUAUCGAAGCUAAAGCGGUCCUAGUGGCAGUCAAAGCUGCCUCUUCAAUGAUCUCCCCGAUCACGAUCUUUCUCGAUUGUCAGUUCUUGGUGAGGCUCCUCAACGGUGAUUCGGCCUUUUUUAGCUGGAAAGCUGCAUCUAUUACGUCCUCCAUAUCGAGUAUCCUAUUGUGUGCCCCUCACAUCACAACCCGGUUUUUCUAAGAAAGGAGAACUUUAAGGCUGAUUGGGUGGCUCGUAAUGCUUCCAAUAGGACUCUGCCGGAGAUUUGAAUUCCAUUAUUGUCGUCUGUUAGGGUGUUAUCUUUUAUUUUUUUAUCUCUGUGAACUCAGAUGUUUUGGAGAUUAAUAGAAAAAUAUUGAGUUGUAAAAAAAAAUAUAAAUCUUUAUUCAAUACUCUUUUUUUCUUGUGGGGUUUCAAUGGUCAACGACUAGUAAUAUUCUGAAACUUCAAUGUAAUAAGUAAGUAGUUUUGACUGGCACAUUAAGUGGGUUGGGAGUUGACUUUAAUUUGUUCACAAAGACAAAGCCUAAUCUAAUCUGAAUGACCAAACUUUUGAUUUUAAAGAAUUUGGGGACCGACGUGGAAUGCAAAAAAGAUAAGAGAAAAAGUCAAAAAGUCUUCCUCAACUGUACGGUAACGCACGGCGCAACAUGAGGGCCGAACCGAUGAAUGCGGAUAACUGGGCCCUACCCAUUUCAUUUCAGAAAGAAAAGCCCUUUUUCCCUUUUUGCCCCGAUGAGCAAGCAAAGCCCUUCUUCAUUUGCUCGUGAAAGCUUUUAAUUUGGCGGGCAAACAUUAAUACGGUGUUGGGUUGGGGAUUUAUAUUUUAUACUUUCCCCAUCAUUUUAAUUUCUUAUUUUUUUUAUCAUAAAAUGGUAAAACUUAAUUAUUGGUUUGAAAAAAUGGGGAAAUAAAUUAUCAAACCAUUCUAAUAUUUUGAAAUGUAUUUCGUUCGAGUGUCGUUCUUGUUGUUUUUCGUAUGGUUACAUUUGAGGUUUUCUUAUAUGAUUGAUGGUACCAUAAGUAUCGGCAUCUAUCAUUUCCUUUAGAAGUUUUCAUCAUGCAUAAGGUUUUUAGACAUUUUUCAAGUUGGCCAUUAGUCAACCUUUCGACUUGAAAUAGAUAUUUAGUAUAUAACAUUCAACUAUCAAAAUGAAAAAGUAAAACCAAACCAUAAGAUAUAUCUAAAUUAUCAUACAAUUAUUCAUCAAGAAAUUAUCAUACAAUUGAAAUAUAAGGUAUCACAUAUUUCAACUAAGCCAAAACAAAUUUUAGCUUUUAAUUGAAUAACCGUUGAAAUUAUACGAGAUACAAUUGAAAAGAUAAUCUAAAACCGCUCUAGAGUAAGUGAUGUCAUGCUUGCGCAUGCAACAUCAUAAAACAAGCAACUCUGGUCUCCUUUGCAAGUGGGUUAUAUGGUUCAGUUUGCCAUCUUCAAAAUGGUAAGUGUAUAGUGUUAUGCAUAUUCCCAUCCACACAACUCAAAUGGCUCCUCACCACCAUAACCAUUCUUCCCAUUUGCUCUCCAAGUUGAAGAAUCCCCCGCCGCCACUUUUCAAUUGUCGGAGAAUUUGUAAGGAGAGGAUCGGAAAAACAAAACAACAGUUGAACAAAAUCUAAGACAAAAGUGACCACCACCAAAAGAGAAGAUUAUGAGACAAAUUAAAGGUCGUGUAAUUAGUAGCACAACUUGCAAAUGAAGCAAAGUACCCCGCACUUCUUUAUUUCCUCUUGGUCCUCCCCCGUCAUACCGGAAUAGACCAAUGGUCCUACGAAGACAGGCUGGAAUGAUAUCAGUCUAGCCCGGGAUGGAUAUUUCAACAUUCAUAUUUGUUUUCGAACAUAUUGAAAUUAUCAUAGUAGUUUAUUAGUACAAGGUAUGAUUUAUUAUAACUUGUUAUAUAUAACUUUUGUGUAUAACAGGUCGGCAGGAAAGAUCAAUAAGAUUUAAAUUCACCCCAUAUUUAUCAUAAAUCAUAUAUCAUCUAUCAAGAUCCAAUGAGUUGCGUCAAAUAAAUAAAGUGAAUGUAGCAUCAUAAUGUAUGACAUACUUCUCAUGUGUGUUUUUUAUUUGACUACGAUUUUCUAUAUAUUCACUACAUACAAUUUGGUCAAAAUUGAAAAAUAAAAAUUUCGAGAAGACAGAAAUUUAAAUUACUAAAGUAGAUCUUUCACAAAUAUUACAAAUACACUAGACUACAAAGUGUUCACAUGUUACAUAAAAAUCCAUCCAUUAUCCAUAAGCCAAAAAAUGUACAACCUUGACCAAGGUUGAACAAACAUAAUCAUAAUUUUGUACGGUUAAAGUCAAUUUCCUAGAGCAAACAUUGAGUAUCAAAAAAGAGAGAAGGAAAACAGAGCACUAAUCAAGGAGCUUAAAGAGUUGGUCUUUAAUGGUCUCUUUUUGACAAUUCCUUCUUCCAAGCUCCUCCAUAAAUACCCCCCUUCCCUCCAAUCUCUUCCUCCCAAAACAAAACUAAAGAAAAACAAACCCUCUUCCCAAAUCCUAACUCCUAGCUUCCCCUUCUGAGCAGCAACUCAAAGAGUUGCAAAGAAUCCAGAAAUGAGGACUUCAGCUCUUUGUGCUCUGUCUUUUGCUCUGCUUUUCCUCUCUGCACAAAUCAUCAUUGUCGAAUCCCGAAUCCCUGGAAAUUACAUGGGAGGCGCCUGGCAAUCCGCCCACGCCACUUUCUACGGCGGCUCAGACGCCUCCGGGACAAUGGGUAACUUCUCCAGAAGAUUCCUUCUCCCCCCUGCUCUGUUUUCCGGCUACUCUAUUUUUUUUAACACACUCUGUUUCAAACUUCCAUGAAUUCAAUGACAAUGACUAGAACAAAGUCGAAUUUCACGGUUUUCAAGGUUGAUUUGUUAUCUUAUAGAAAAAAUUUAGUUUGUAUAGAGAUCGAGUUUAUUCGAAUUUGCAUCGUUAACUACUCUGUAAAAGUCAAAUUCGAGAUGAACUUGAACUUUACUUAUUAAAACCCUUUAUUAGUCCAAUAAUUUGAAACUUGUACACUAAAUUAACACGUUAAACUAAAAUAUAAAUUACCCUAAAAUUUUCAACUCUCUACUUUUUCAUUUCAUUUAAAAUAAUUAUACAUAAACUAUGUAGCACUUGUAUUGUGAUUACCAUAAUCACAACUUAAAUAAGAUAUAUUAUAUACAAAAUAAAAUAAAUAUUGCAUUAUUAAAUCUAUUAACUAGACAUAUAUUUAAGAUAGUAUUUGAAUUGACUCUAACUCGAACUCACAUAUCUAGCUUCCUGACUAAAGUUUAACUAAUUUAAAAUCUAGUCGAUUCAAAAACGAAUAUUUUUUCGAGCAAACCAAUACACUAAACUAUUAAUCAAACAGCUCCAUUUGUCAACAACCCGACAUUUCUCAAUUUCUUUGUUCUAAAGGGGGAGCUUGUGGAUACGGAAACCUGUACAGCCAAGGCUACGGAGUAAACACCGCCGCACUAAGCACUGCACUCUUCAACAACGGACUGAGCUGCGGUGCAUGCUUCGAGAUAAAAUGCGCAAACGACCCGCAGUGGUGCCAUUCGGGCAGCCCUUCGAUCCUCGUCACAGCCACAAACUUCUGCCCUCCCAAUUUCGCCCAAGCCAGCGACAACGGUGGGUGGUGCAACCCUCCCCGCCCGCACUUCGACCUCGCAAUGCCGAUGUUCCUCAAGAUCGCAGAGUACCGGGCCGGGAUCGUGCCAGUGUCGUUCCGGAGGGUCGCAUGUAGGAAGCAAGGAGGGAUCAGGUUCACGAUCAACGGGUUCAAGUACUUCAAUUUGGUACUUGUGACGAACGUGGCCGGAGCAGGGGAUGUUGUUAAAGUGUGGGUGAAAGGUUCCAAGACUGGUUGGAUGAGUAUGAGUCGGAAUUGGGGUCAGAAUUGGCAAUCGAAUUCGGUGUUGGCCGGACAGUCGCUGUCGUUCCGAGUUACUUCGAGUGAUCGCCGGACUUCUACUUCUUGGAAUAUUGUUCCUGCUGGGUGGCAGUUUGGUCAGACUUUUACCGGCAAGAAUUUCAGGGUCUAGUAACUGGUGGGCAGUGGGCUGGUAACCUUUUUUCGGUUUGGGAAAAGGGUACGGUUCGGUUUGUUGUUUUUUUUCACCAUUGUUGGGGAAAGUCUCCACUUAGAUGUGUUUGUCUCCACAUACUAUACUAAAUCAUAUUCUAAUGUAACACUUUUGUUUAUUUAUACGUGACCACUCAUGCUCUUAAAAACAUAUCAGUGGUUUUUUCCGAGCUAUUUACAAAUAGUUUGGCUCGUCAACAACCUCAAAAGCAAUCAAAUAGACUGUCAAAAAUGUUGUAUGAGAUUAUGUUUAAGAAUAGCUAUUUCGUCAUAAAUAUCAAAUCAACAAGCACUUAAAUUUCAAUGAUAUGAACACUGUUUCUAUUCAAUGUGAGAUGGAAUCAGUAGACAACGGGGUAAAGAACCCGGCGGCUGUGGAUACCAUCCCUACGGUUGUCUGGCCGCUGCCCGAUCACACGAAUGAUAAUCGAGCUUUCUCUGUCUGCAUCGUUGCCAUAGUGGGGAUAAAUCAUAGUGCCCCGAGAGGCUGAUUCCUCACUUUGCAAACACAACAACGCAAUUCAAAUUCCUUUAAAAAACUUGUGUUCACAGAAACUGGGAUUUGAGCACAAAGGAGAAAAGCUUCACUCUUUCUGUUCUGUAUCUGGCCUCGGUUUAAAUAACAAGCGAAACAAGAAAUUGUCGGCUGAUGUAGCACAAGCGAGUGUAGGGUUUGAAUGCACAUAAACUUGGGCCUGCCUGUUGAUUCUGUGACCCUAAACCAAAAAGCCCUAUCAGCUUUGUUCCACUACAUGUUGGUGACCCUAAACCAAAAGUCCUAAUCUUUAACCACAUUAGUCAUUCUACUCAUUCUCAUCUGCAAUAUAUACACAAAACGCCAUCUCCUUACCUUGUUUUACGCUUCCGUGUCUUCUCAUUCUUCAACUCAUUGAUAAGAUCAUGAACAACUUCUUUCUCACUCUUCAACUCAUUGAUAAGAUAAUGAACAACUUCUUUCAUGCUAGCUUUCCUUCGUUCCUCCAAGUUCCACACUUCAGGUAUCGUGUACCUCCCGCUCGGGUUGUACUGGUUCAACUCCAGUAACUUCUUUGUCACAGCAUCAUACACCCCUUCUCCAUAUACAUUCCUCAACUCCUUCAGCUUCUGGUCAUCUUCAUCAAUCACCUCCUGCCAAAAUAUCAUGAGUUAGUAUUCCGAAAAUCCCGAACGUUAUCCAAUUUGUUUCGAUCACAAUGCCUACAUGUGGUGUUUGGUUUCCGGUGAUCUUGAAAGGAUGCCAGUUCGGAUCUGUCAAAUGUUGUUUCCAUAACGAACAUAGCUCGGUAGCUUCAUCUUCUACCUUCUCCCUAGAGAACUUACCAACGCAAGCCUUAAAGAAAACUUGGCCGUUGAGUUCCCCCAUUCUCUUGAUCCUGAUAGUUGACAAACGGUCAUGAGUAUGACGUAUCACUUCUUGCAACCCCUAUACAUGAAACAGAAGUGGAUAAGAUAGGCAAAUCAGAAAUCUCAUGUUUUUUUAACCAACAUGUUCAUGGAAAAGUCUGGAGAGUGACAGACUUCGAUUAAUUCUUUGCGAGCAUCCUGAAGUUCUUGGUUCGCUGCAAACUCCUUAACCAUUAGAAUGCGGUUAUGGUCUUCCGCAAGCUGCAGUUCCUCUUCUUUUUCCUCCAACAUUUCUUUCAAUGCUUCAUACUUGUCAUUUGAAUCCCUUAUAUAAUCUAGAUUUUCAGAUUGCAUGCUUUCUCUUAACUACAUUUCAAAAGUGAAAAGUACAGCAUUAGACAAAUUAUGCAGUCCAGAAAAGCUGCAACCGUUUUCUUCAACUAUGACAACAUUGAUCUCUGUAAUACUGAAUCACCUUCUCCGACUUUUCUCUCGGUGCUUCAUACUUCUCACUUGAAAUCCUUAUAUACUCUAGAUGUUCAGCUUGCAUGCUUUCUCUUAACUACAUUUCAAAGAGAAAAGUAGUGCAUUAAACAAACUAUGCAGUCUAGAAAACCAUUGAUCUUUGUACUGUAAUACUGAAUUACCUUCUCCAUUUGGUCCAAUAAACUGCGAGUUGUAUCUUCUUCUUUGGAAAGCUGCUGCUUUUUAUUCUCUUCCACCUGUUGUAUCAAUUGAUCUUGCCAUUCCACGUGACACUCCAGUUGAACAAUUGUGGCCUUCAAGUGCUCAAUUUCUGCAUCAAAGCAAGUGACUUUGUGAUAAAUCCUACAACUAUAUGCUAAAAGAAUAAGUUUCAGAACAACGUACCUCUAAGAUAGUAAUCCUGCAUCUGGUCUUUCUCGGAUUCCAAAUAUCUUGAAAGUACAGAAGCGUCCUCAUACUUCUACUCCAAUUCGAGAAUAUCCAUACUUACAUAUAACAGUUUUUAAGUAUACUCAUACUCGAUAAACUCAUAUUUUAUCAUGUUUGACCGAUUUACAUUAUGACAACAACCACAAAUCCACAAUGGUUGCAUGAGGGCCGUUCAUUAAGAAAAGAAGUUCAUUGGGGUUUUCCCCGAUCCGUGAAAGAAGCCCAAUUGGUUUGUCUUAUCUCGAUAGGAACUGAUUUACCCCAAUCUUUUAAAAAGGGUGUUAUUCACCGUUUUAAGAUUUAUAAAAACGCUUUAAUUAUUAUAAAUGGUAUAAUUAUUCUUUUAUCAAACACACAAAUCCUAAAUUCUAAUUUUUAAAUACAUCACCCACUAUUAUUCACCAAUAAUUCAUUGAUCAUCAUUGUUAUUAAAGUUUCCAACGAUCAUCGCUUAUCCCAAAAUGAUCGAACACAUGUUGAUUAAAAAAACAUAAAAAUGACCACCUAAUUGCCGCCGGAAAACGGGCGACGGUCCCGUUGCCUGCGAGACCCAUACAAGUUGCCGAUCCAUCGAAGCUCGACAGAGGUGAUCGAGGAUGAUAUUUACUCAUUCGAUCGUCGGAAAGAGAUUGAAUCGGUUUUUAGUUUCAGAGUUCUUAGUUUCGGGUUUUUUUAUCAAAAAGAUAAUAGUGUAAUUUUACGUGUUUUAGAGCGUAACUUAAGAUGACGGAUAGCAAUUCAGCCAAACAAACCUACUAAACUGAGAAUGGACCGAAAAUUGGGCCUGUUGAUUCUGUGACCCAAAACCAAAAAGCCCUAUCAACUUUGUUCCACUACAGGUUAAUAGUGUUGUUGAUUAGCCAAGCCGUUUGAGAAUAGCUUAAAAUUCGAUUUGAAAAGCUUGUUAGUGUCGAUAACCAGUUCAAAUAUUAGUUCGAAUGUAUGAUUCAUAGUAGACUUAAAAAUGCAACAUAUAUAAUAAAAUAAAUCAUAUGUAAUUUGUGAUUUGACUCAUGAAAAUAUAUUUAGUACAUUAUUUAGGUUAGUAAGAACUUGAAAAUUUGAUGAUAGUUUGUUUUUUCAGCCUCAACCCUUCAAUGUUUUAUAGGGUACCAACUUCAUAUUCAACAGUUUGUUUUUUCAGUCUCAACCCUUCAAUGUUUUAUAGGGUACAAACUUCAUAUUCAACCCAAAAACAAGCGAAGUUCAAGUUGAGCUCUCUAAUUUGACUCGUCAAUGCUAGUUAACGAGUCACCCUCGAAUAGGUUCGUGCUCGACACAAGUUGAAAUUUUCUAUUUUGAUUUCAAGCUAGUAUAAAAAAAAAAUGGCAAUCUUAAGCAAAAUGAAGCUCAACUCAGCUCCGUUGAUAAAUGUGGAAAAUGAACCUUACAAACAAAUACCUAAAAAUUCAAAUCUUUAGCCACAUUAGUCAUCUACUCAAUACUCAUCUACAAUAUGUACACGAAAUGACUUGGAGUAUAAAGACUAUCAUAUCUGCUACGUUCUUUUACGCUUCCGCGUCUUCAACUGAUUGAUGAGAUAAUGAACAACUUCUUUCAUGCUGGCUUUCCUUUCUUCCUUGAAGUUCCACACUUCAUGAACCGGAUACCUCCCGCUCGAAUUGUACUCGUUCAACUCCACUAGCGCCUGUGUCACAGCAUUAUACACCACUUCUCCAUAUCCAUUCCUCAACUCCUUCAACUUCUCAUCAUCUUCAUCUAUCACCACCUGCCAAAAUUCACGAGUUAGUUCCGAAAACUAUCCAACCUUGUGGAACUUGUUCAACAAUCAAUAUGUCUACCUACCUGUGAUGGUUGGUCUCCGGUGUGCUUGAAAGGAUGCCAGUGUGGAUCUUUUAAAUGUUGCUCCCAUAAGGAGCACAUUUUAGCAGAUGCAUUGUCUACCUCCUCGCUAGUGAACUUACCAAGGCAAGCCUCGCGGAAGACUUGGCCUUUGAUUUCCCCCAUUCUCUUGAUCCCGAUGGUUGACCAGUGGUGAUGGCUCCGCAUCACUUCUUGCAACCCCUAUACGUCGGAACAAAUUAUUCACAUGUUGAUGAUGCAGAAAUAUUAAACGGUGAAAAAAAAGCUGGAGAAUAUGCCAUAUGUUUACACUGAUUGAUUUUUUGCGAGCAUCCUGGAGUUCUUGGUUGGCUGCUAACUCCUUCACCAUGAGAACACGGUUAAGGUCUUCCGCAAACUGCAGUGCCUCCUCCUUUUCCUCCAACUUUUCCUUCAGUGCUUCAAACUUCUCACGUGAAUUCCUAGUAUACUCCAGUUUUUCAGCUUGCAUGCUUUCUCUUAACUAGAUUUCAAAAGAGAGUACAGCAUUAGACAAAUUAUGCAGUCCAGAAAAGCUUCAACAUUUUUCUUCAACUGUGUAAUACUGAUCACCUUCUCCAUUUGGUCCAAUAAACUUCGAGCUGCCUGCUCUUCUUUGGCAAGCUGUUCCUCCUUCUCUUCCAUCUGUUGGUUCAAUUGCUCCUGCCAUUUCAUGUUACGUUCCAGUAGAACGAUUGUGGCCUUCAAGAACUUAAUUUCUGCAUCAAAUCAAGUGACUUGUGAUAAUCCUACAACUUAUGCAACAGUUUCCACUUUCUUUCUUUACACAUAUCAGUUCCACCAACAAGUUUCAGAACACGUACCUCUGAGAUAGUAAUCCUGCAUUUGAUCUUUCUCAGAUUCCAAAUAUAUUGAAAGUGCAGAAGCGUCCUCGUACUUGUGCUCCAAUUCGAGAAUAGUGGCGUCUCUAGACUGUAAUUUGUCAACAAGUUGAGCAAUCAUUCUAUUCGAGAAUCCUGUCGUGUCAGCAUAGUUAAGUCGCAGUUCUGCCAACUCAUUAGCUUUGGUCUGAAGCUGCAGAACGAGAUUACUAAUGACUUGGUUUGCUUGAUUCAGUAGGUAUUGUUCUUGGUUGUUGUCUUUCUCCAUUUCAACUUCAGUAUCCCUACAAACCUACAAUAGGAACUCGAUACUUGAAAAGGGUUAAAAACAAAGCGGAUAAUCAAUCUGUUUGGACUAAUUGGAGUAAUUUACAACUUCUGGAGGCUAAUCGUUUUAUUGAAAUCAUUCCAUUAAAAGGAAACCCAUAUCACACACAGUUACAAGCAGAGCAAAAAUGCCAAUUUCAAAUCGUCAAAGAAGGAAAUCUAAACCCCAGGGAGAACAAACAUGUAGUAGAUCACAUUUCCUGCCGUGCACCCAGAAAAACUGAGAAAUUGAACAACUUGCAACAUUAAUUCCAGGGGAUUUAACAAAAUACCCACCCACACUGAGAACCCAAAAGGGUAUGAAAAGAUGAAAUUAGCCACGAAAUUACCAAACCUACUUGACCCGAGGAGACAAAAGGAGACAUAGUGUUGAAAUGCUGGAGAAAGUUGCAGAGAAAGGAACUGUUAGUAAGGGGAAAGAUGAGUGACCUUGGAAGCUGAGGCCGCCGUGGACAUUCUGGACAGUCGUCUCGCCGGAAGCAACUGGCCGUAGCGAUGGUACGGAGAGGUAAAGAAGAACUUCGUUGGAAGAGACUUGGGGGGAAAGGAAAUGUAAAUUUCACUCGUUCUGACAGUAAUUUGGGUUUUCUGGACAAUGGGUUAGUUAAUAGUGUAAAUUUAAGUGAGUGGUUAGGGUAUUUAAUAAAGUAAUUUAAUCAAUUUUUAAAAAAACUUCCGACUACUAACACCACCUUCGGCAAGAUUUUAGUGAGGGUCUGGAGAAUUCCUGACUACCUUUUUAGUUAUAAUUAUAUGUAAUUAAUUAUAUUAUUAAAUGUUGAUGAAGAUCCAACCACCUACUAUAAUUGGUUACAAUUACAUGUAUUUAGCCUGUAAAAUUUAUGAUUAAAAUUUUUAGGUUUGUGAAUUGAUUGUUUAAGGAUUUAAAAGUGAAAAUAGUAAUAAUAUUUAAUCCUUAUGAAAUAUCAUAUUUAGCGAGUGAGAUGUGAGAUGGAAUCUUAAACAUUUUAUUAUUUAAAUGAAAAUUUUAAAUUUUAAUAAAAUAAUAAAAAUAUAUUUUUAAAGUUAACUUUCUCAUUCUCAUCCAAAUUUUAUUAUAUAUUCCACCAACUAAACUAACAAUAAUAUCCUUCGACUAACAUCUAAUUAUAAAACCUUUUUGUAAGAAUUUAAUUGACCGAUCAUAUUCGAUUUGAAAAUUUACUCUAUCGAUAUUCAUACACAACAAUUUUUAAAAUUUAACCGGUUCAGAUUGGAACGGAUAAACUAUGAUUACAAGCACCGGAAUGAGGGUUGUUUAUCAAGAAAAGAAGUUCAUUGGGCUUUUCUAAUCCAUAAUAAAGAGGCCUAAUUGGUUUGUCUUGUUCUCGAAUGGAACUGAUUACCCCCAUCGUCCAAACAUACCUGCUGCAGUGACUUCAUCAUUCUUGUUUGUUUUCACUAGCAGCUUCGAACAUUGAAUCUCCAUCGGAAUUAAGGAAACACAAAGAUUCGCCAUAGCCAGCCCAGCCACGAUUAAGCGACAGGAGUAGAAAUCAGGCGCCAGAAAAAUGUUCCCGCAAUUCGGAGCGACGGGUGAUACGCUGAGCAAAGCUUCGACGAUCAUGUUCCGGAUCGGGACGGACGCUCACCUGUACGAUGAUCCGGAGGACGUUAACAUUGGCCCCUUGCUAGACAGCAAGUUCGAUUCAGAGAAAUGCGAAGCUCUCAAGAGACUUCUGGCUCUCAUCGCCCAGGGUUUCGACGUUUCCAAUUUCUUCCCUCAGGUUCGCAGCCAUUUACUCUCUCACCUUGGCGCUUUUGUUUUCCUUUGUAGCUACGUUGAUCUGCUGAAAUUGAGUACUGAGUAGCAGAUGCACAGUUAGGGAAGCAUAGAUUCCGCCAGCGUUUUUGGUUUAGAGCUCAAGGAACUCUAGCAAUGAAGCGAUGCACAGCUUAAUUUUGUUCACUUCAAGUAAUUCAAAAUUCGCGAUGAUUGACGUUUCUUCCGUUUUAUCUUAUCAAUUCGAUCAAGGGAAUUGCAGGUGGUGAAAAACGUGGCAUCUCAUUCAUUGGAAGUGAAGAAGCUGGUUUACUUGUAUCUGCUUCAUUAUGCUCAAAAGUACGUCCUAUAAAUAGAAAAAGAAUGCUCGUUGUUGGUUCCUUCGUAGUUACUCAAGUAAACAAUACUUUUUAGUGCCCUCGAUUAGUAGGUAUUUGCGGUAAAGAAUCUCAUUGUGGCAUCUGUGAAUAAGAGUAAGGAAGAUACGGUUGAUUUAUAUACUGAUGCUGUGGUAUGUAUUAAUUCAUUUUAGGCGUCCCAAUGAAGCAUUGCUGUCGAUCAAUUCAUUCCAAAGGGACUUGGGGGAUACAAAUCCGUUAGUAAGAGCAUGGGCACUCCGUACGAUGGCUGGAAUCCGUUUGCAUGCCAUUGCUCCUCUUGUUUUGGUAGCUGUUGGCAAGUGUGCUAGAGAUCCCUCUGUUUACGUUAGGAAAUGUGCUGCCAAUGCUCUGUCAAAGUUGCAUGAUUUGCGUCUUGAAGAACACUCAUCUACAAUUGAAGAGGUAUCGUUGAUUAAUAACCAACUGAAUGAACUUCAAUUUCCUUGAUAUGCGUGAUGCGUCUGAGGUCUCCAUAGGGGUUAACAUGGUCACCUACUCUGGUUUGACCAUAAUUCUGUCGUUUUCUCUAAUGCAGAUUGUUGGAACGUUGCUAACUGACCAUUCACCUGCGGUAGUGGGCGCUGCCGCUGCUGCGUUUUCUUCUGUUUGCCCAAAUAAUCAUUAUUUGGUUGGAAAGAAUUACAAAAGGCUGUGUACUAUUCUUCCUGAUGUUGAGGAGUGGGGUCAAAUAGUCUUAAUAGGAAUUCUUUUGCGCUAUGCAAUAGCUAGGCAUGGGUUGGUGAAGGAGUCCAUAAUGUUCCAGCUUCAAAAUAAAGAACAAUCGUCAUUUCAAAAUGAUGAUUCAGCUGUGGACUCCACAUUCCAAGAAAAGAGUAGUGACAUCAGUAAGGAAUAUGACUCUGAGUUGGCUAGUAUGAUUUCCAGGUGUUACAUUGAAGGACCUGAUGAUUAUUUAUCCCGUUCAAGUUACUCCAACAGGGUGUUCUUGGCGUUUAGUAGCGCAAAUUUUACAUCUAGCAAGAAUGUGGAUGUGGAGAUCCUACUUCAAUGUACAUCACCAUUGUUUUGGAGCAACAAUAGUGCAGUGGUGCUGGCAGCAGCUGGUGUACAUUGGAUUAUGGCACCGCGUGACGACAUCCAAAGAAUUGUUAAACCACUACUAUUUUUGUUAAGAUCAUCAAGCAGUGCAAAUUAUGUGGUAUUUUGCUAUCCCUGAAACUAGAAGUUCUUAUUUAAUCCUAGUUGUAUUCCUGCGUUCUGUUUAUAGGGUCGUAUUUUACUCUUGAAUUAGUACUAGUAAAAGGACUGUUGGUUGAAGGCUAUAUAGUUCUAAGAUUUGCCCCUCCAAAUUGCUGUGUUCUAGUUUUAUUUAGAGCUUUUUUAAGUUUCAAAGAGCUAGUUCAAGGUCAGCUGAUAAAUACCUCAAUGAUCUACAUCUGCAGGUCCUUUGCAAUAUUCAAGUGUUUGCAAAAGCAAUGCCUGCCUUAUUUGCUCCACACUUUGAGAACUUUUUCGUACUAUCUACAGAUUCUUAUCAGAUGAAAGCUUUGAAGCUUGAGAUCCUUUCUAUAAUUGCUACAGAUUCUUCUAUGUCAUCUAUCCUCAAGGAAUUUCAGGUAAGUUAUUCCCAUCUUUCCUUACCCAUUAGUUACAUGCUAUUUAUCGCUUUGGAAGUCAUUGGUCUUGAAAAAACAUCUACAUCCAAGUGGCUACUACUAGAUUCUCGUUGUUUAUGUUUUAAUCUCUUGCAGGACUACAUCAGGGAUCCAGACAGGAGAUUUGCAGCUGAUACAGUAGCUGCAAUUGGCUUAUGUGCUCUGCAACUUCCUGAAAUGGCUAGUAAAUGCUUGGAAGGGCUGUUAGCGUUGACUAGGCAUGGUAUGUGUUAGUUGCUUGCUUCUACCUAAUUCAGAAAAGAAAUUGUCACUUUGAUUUCUUUAUUAUAAACCGGAUGCGUUUCUUGCAGAUCUUUUCACCAGUGACAUCAAAACUUCCGACGAAGAAGCAGGUGUUUUAGUUCAAGCAAUAAUGUCAAUUAAAAUUAUUAUAAAGCAGGAUCCUCCAAGUCAUGAUAAGGUACUGCUAUUUCUUUUUUCCUUAUUAAGCAAAUGCAUUUCUUCCUUGUCAUUUUGCAUAUGUUUAUCUAGUGAAAAACAUUUGGUAACGUAUGGGAAAUAUUGUCAUAAAACAACAUAUGUUGAGUAAUUAGCCAUUUUGGUUUAGUUGGAAAUUGUCGAUCAUGGACAAGGUCGAUCAAUAAAGUUGCGACCACAGAACUAUUCCAGAAGUAGGCUACUCUAUGCCACUAAAUAACACUUUUGUAGCUCAUUAUUUAAUUAGUUUUUCUUGUUUUUCCAGGUUAUUGUUCAGUUAAUUCGUAACCUCGAUUCUAUUAAGGUAGCUGAAGCUCGUGCAAUAAUUAUUUGGAUGGUGGGAGAGUAUAGCCUUCUCGGGGAUUUAAUUCCCAAAAUGCUAAUUAUUGUACUCAAGUAUCUUGCUUGGAGUUUUACUUCAGAAAGCUCGGAAACAAAGCUUCAGACUCUAAACACGGUUGCUAAGGUAUAUCAAAGCCCUCUUUCUACAACUUCCCUUUUUUCAUUCUGUUAGUUUCACUAAAAUGCAGAACUGAGGUUCUGACCACACUUUUCUCUGACUAUCCUGAAGGUUCCUAUUGCAUGCUGACAUUUUUAUAUUUUGUUAUACUCGAAUUCAUCCUGCCAUUGAGCUUGAUUCUUUAAGAGGAUUCUUCAAUUGAGUCUAAAUUUAAUGUCCUUGUAGGUACUAUCAAAUUCAAAAGAGGGAGAUCUAGAGACAUUAUCAAAAUUAGGUCGCUAUGUGCUUGAACUGGCUGAAAGUGAUAUGAAUUAUGUUGUCCGUGGAAGAGGCCGUUUCUUCAGAAAACUUCUGUCAAGCCAUUUUGGUUCCGAGAAAUUGGAGGAUGACGUGAGCACUUCCUCUGGAAACGAGGGUAUGUUGAAUGUACUUGCUGAACACAUGUUCCGGGAACAAACAACUCAACUUUCACCUGUACCGAUCAGCUUUCGAGUCUAUCUUCCUGGUUCCCUGUCACAGAUAGUCCUUCAUGCUGCCCCGGGCUAUGAACCAUUGCCAAAGCCUUGUACUAUUCUUCCCGAGGAAUUCGAUCAGCUAUCAGAUGCCAAUAGUGGGGCUAAUAUGUUGGACCCAGAUGCUUCUGCUUCAUUAUCUGAAUCUUUUGACGAGGAAAGUAGUUCUUCCAAUGGUUCUGAGCAUUCUAAUUCUUCUAGUGGCAAUGCUGACACAGGUGAUACUGGUUCAUCAAGUGAGGAUGAAAACAUCGAAAAUCCUCUGAUACAAAUCUCUGAUGAAAACCAGACUGGCCUAAUGCCAGCUACUUCUACCGAUCUGGGGGAACUCAUGUCAAACAGAAAUUUAGAUACUUGGUUGGAUGACCAGCCCGGUUUACCAAAUUCAAGUACAUCAGAAGGAACCAAGGUCUCUCGAUCAGUAAGAAUCUCUAUCAAGGACAUUGGAAGACGAGUAACACCAAAGACCUAUGAACUCUUGGAUCCAACAAAUGGAAAUGGCUUGAAGGUGGUCUAUAAAUUUUCAUCUGAUAUUUCAAGUGUUUCACCUUAUCUUGUAACCAUACAAGCCUCUUUUGAGAACUGUUCCAGCGAGACAAUCACGAACAUAGCAUUGAAGCACGAGGAGCCCACAAAAUCCUCGGAUGACAGUGAGAGGUGACUUGUGUGCUUUCUCGAUUGUGGCAGAUUUAUUUAUCCUGUCAAACUGGCUUGGUUAUUUAGUGAAAAUAACUAGGACGUUCAGUUUGUGCUGGUAUCAUUUAUGGCUUCUUACCCCAUCAUCAACUGAAUUGUUUAUAUAAAUCUACUUUUUCUUUAUAACACAAAUGCUUUUCUACAAUGCCCAUAUGGAACUAAGGCUUACAUGACUUUGACUUGUUUAUUGCAGCUCUUUGCCAUCUGAGGAUAAUGUACCUGUACUGGUUCCUAUGGAAGAGAUCAUUUCUCUGGAAUCCGGUGAAGCAACUACGGCGACCAUUCAUGUUCACUUCCAUCACCACCUAUUGCCCUUGAAGUUGGUAUUGCAUUUCAAUGGCAAGAACCAUCCAGUUAAGUUGCGUCCUGACAUUGGAUAUUUUGUGAAACCGCUUCCGAUGGAAGCUGCGGCAUUCAGAGACAAGGAAUCUCAUCUUCGGGGAAUGUUUGAGUGCACAAGGAGGUCAGUACCCUAUAUUCGGCUCCAAGUAUUUAUUUUAGUUAUUAUCAUUAUUGUAGAAAGAAAGAGCACUUCCAUUUUCCACCGUCUCGAAAUCUUGUCCUCUCCUCAAAUUAUUGGUUGGAUUGCAUAUUUGCUAUUUCCAUCUUCUGUUUUUGUCAAAGGAACAACAGUAGCACUUACUAAAUAAAUGAUCUUCAUCUCACUUUCACUUUGUAUGUACCAGUUGUAUCUUCAGUGGCCAUGUUGAAAAUCUGAACAAGGACAAGGGAAAUACAUUCGAAGAAGACAAGUUUCUCGUGGUCUGCGAGAGCCUAGCAUCGACGAUGCUAAGCAACGCCAAUCUCUUCCUUGUAUCGGUCGACAUGCCAAUUGCUGCCAAGCACGACGAUGCCUCCGGAUUAUCCCUGCGGUUCAGCAGCGAAAUUCUUAGCAACUCAAUGCCCUGCUUAACCACCAUUACUGCAGAAGGUAUAUGCUCCGAGCCGUUAAAUGUGGUCGUGAAAGUCAACUGUGAAGAAACCGUAUUCGGAUUGAACUUGCUGAAUAGGAUUGUCAAUUUUCUUAGUUGAUCUUGCAAAUUUGGAUGUCUUUUAAAGCAAAGGAGAACGUGAUCAAAUACUUCGCUAGUGUGUUGUGCAAGCUGCUCUUGCCACUUUAUUUCAUUUGUUGUUCAUGUGUCUUACAGUGUACUAUACCCGCCAUUUCGGAACAGCGCGAUUGUGCUAAUAUUGAAUGAUUCUGCCCUGAGUUUCCUUGUUCGUCUCUUUAUUUAGCAAAAAAAGAAGUUGUAAAAGUUUGUCUGCUAAUUUGAUGAACAGCAAGAAAGUAAGGCCAAUAUCUUGAUUGAUUAUUAUCUGUCUAUCUCUACUUUUGUUUCCUUCCAUUCUAGAAUGAUUGCAGGCACCGAAAGUUUCAUGUUCGUAAAGCUGAAGGUUCUCUGAUGACAGCAAGGUUCGACAUUACUGAAAAACAGAUAUACUUUACAGUUCAGAGCAAUGAGAUCUUAUUCGACCCUUUUCGAGUUUCUUGUAACAUGAUAUCUCUGUGCACAAGAUAAGGGACCGACUCUUUCUGCAUUACUGGCGCUCUUGCUCUGUGUGGCUUCUUUGGCUUACUCGGAGAAGGACCAGUAGUAGGAAGAACGGACGACAAAACUUCUUCAGCAGAACCAGCAGAAGCUCUUCUGAACUUGAACUUCUCCUUCCUAAAACCGCCAUGGCGCUGCGACCUCGACACCUGGUAGAGAUCUCCAACGAGCACAGACCGACUCGCUCCAACUUCUUCACACACCGGCAAUCGACUCUGCUGCUUCGAUUUUUGCCGUCUCUGUUGUUUCUUGGUCAGCUUCCGUUCGUAGUAAAGUCCGAGUUUCAGGUUGUUGACUCUCCUCUCUAACCACACGAUCUCCUCCUCCACGAUCGCCAUCUCUGCAAUAAGCCCCUGUACCUGCCACAUUUCCCAACACUGUCAAACUUCAUGAAAAAUCAAUCAAUCACCUAACCUGCCGUAUAACACAAGAAACCAAAGCUUACUUGAGGCGGAAGCAACGAAGCAAUGCAGGGAUGAGGCGGUAGCACAGGACCGUGAAGCGCGGACUGCAAAACUUUACCAAUCGCUUGCUGCUCGUCCAAUUCUGCGUGGAGGUUCUCGACCUCUUCUUCCAGGAUGUUUCUCCUCCUCUGCUGAUGAUGUUUCUCGUCGGCUUGCUCCGCCAAGUAAUCUUCAAACUUCAUUUUUAGGAAUGCGACUGGGAGAGAGAAGCUAGGAGUAGGUUUGGUUAUAUAGAGAUUAUGAAAGGGGAGUGCUUUAGCUUGAAGGAACGUGGAUGCCAUAACUAGGUAGGUUUGGAGGAGUUGACCCUGGGAAAAAAAAGAGAGGAAAAAGCAGAGAUGAGAUGAGUAAACUGGUGGUUUUGGAAAAGUGUUUGGUUGGGGAAGAAGGAAGGAUGUCUUGUCUGUUGAUUUUUGGGAGAGGUGGUGGCCGGUGGGCGGUGGCUGGGUAAAUGAUCGGUGAAGACUGAAGCAGAACCUCGUGACCUUAUGAAGUUUGGAAACUUCAUUAAUUUCUUUUGUUGGUGAGAGUGAAAGUUUGAGAGGACGGGAAGCCCAUGAACAGUAGCAAAAAAGGGAGAGAUUUUGGUUGGAUGAAACCUUUCUCUGUCGAAUUGGUUGUGGUCGUGAAGAAACAGAGUAAAUGAGAGCUUCGCAGCAGAAGAAGCUCAGGGACGGCCGGGAAAUGACGAAUGAUGGGGAAAAAAACAUGAAAACGAAUAAAAGACACCGGCGGCCUGUGGGGAUCGGUCGACCUGAAAUAAUUUUGGAUUCAUCAUCGUCAAUCGGUUGUGCUGCUACUCAGAUGAAAGGAUGUGAUUCUUUAUGUGUUUGUGUAAUCAGUUCUCAAAAUCUGGAUAGGUGCAGUUGGUAGACAAUGCAGUAUGAUAUCAGCAUGUUUUCGGCCGGGAGGCACUUGUUUGUAUCUUCGAAUACUAAUAAGCAAAUGGCAAAAAAAUUUAUGAUUCAAAUGUUGAAUAAAUCGUAGAAUAAUAUAUUCAUUUGGAAAAAAAAUGGUUGUAAUCUUCAAUUUAGUGGGUAUAGUUCUUCUAUAAUUAAAUCGAUAGAUUAAUUACAUCUUCUAAUCUCGUAAAUUAUAUUUUAAGGGAGUUAAUGAUACAUAUACUCUUUUAAUAAGGAAGAAUCAAGAUAAUAAAUCUUAAUAUUAUUAAUAUAUUAUAUUAUCAAUCAAGUCAAACCAAAGUUUAAUUAAUUAGCAACAAAGUCAAACACCAUCUUCUAGAGUUGACAAAGUGAUUGAUGCACUUAAAAAUUGCUUUCCCUCCAGCCUCCGAACUGCUGUCCAUCGCCACCGUCCCCUGCCUGUUUGCAAAUCACCAGCAGAAAACAAACAAUUAAAAACAGUAAUUUCAUGAGAAACAAUUGAACAAACAAGUUACGGCGUAAUUAAGAAGGGAUAAAUUAAUAAUUUUACCUUGAGGGUAAAAGUAAGACCAACUUUGAUCUCACCGCGGUAAGAGUUGUCAGCAGUAACCACACUGUACUUGCAAGGUCGGAGCUCGUAGCUCCCCUUCUCCACCCCUGUUUCCAACACUUCUUUCACUUGCUGAAUCCUGAUUAAUCUCAGUUUAACCAUAUCGAUCAGUGACUCAUUGGUUUGAUUAGUUAGUUGAUCAGUAAUUAAGGAGAGGAAAUCAACUAAUUAAAUUAAAGGACAUACGUAGCCAUGCCAACGAAGUCAUCGGCAGUGAAAGUGUCGUGGUCCAUGAUCUUAAGGGUGAGCUUGUAAUCGCCACCUUGAGGUGCUGGAUAUUCCGCCCUGAAUGACAACUUCUCGUUCCACGCUGGACUUCCACCUGCCUCUGCACCACCACAUCCCCAAACUCAACCAUCAUAUAUAUUUAGGAUACAUACAUCAUUAAUCAAUCAAUACUUUCCCGAACAUUACCAUCGAACGAUCGUCCCAUUCAACCUUGAACCGUACAUCAGAUCGGUUUGGUCCAUUAACAAUAAUCUUUUGGUUGGAGGAUCAUUGAACCAUUAAAAUCCCGAAAAUUAUUUAACAAAUUAAUACGAAUCAUUGAAUUUCUUUAACUUGACUCAAAAAUGAAAUAACAAUUCUAGAAUUUUAACUAUUAAAACCCUAUUGAUAUGAACUAAAUGUAGAGGUAGGGAAUCAUGGAUGUCCAAUUACCUAAAUGUAUGUUUAGGGGUUGUUUGGUAUAGGAAAAAUUUAAGUAUGUUUACGGAAAACUCUUAUCUUAUUUUUGUUGGAAGUGAUGGUUAAUUGGUUAUAAAUAAACAUCUUACUUAGUAUUCGAAUUUUUUUCAUUAGCAACAACGUGACAAGUACUUUGACCAGGAUUUUUCAAAGUUCGAAUUCAAUUGAACCUCUAAUUCUUGACCUCUGGUUCAUCCGGUUCGACAUUCGGUUCAUUGACCUGGUUCCGGUCGAAGUCUAUUAUAUUUUGAAUUUUCUCACCUCUGCGUCUUGGAGUUGGACUAGCUAACCUAACAUUCCCAACUGUUACCCUUUCACCAAUCAUAAACCAGCUAAUGUUGGCCAGCAGUUGAUAAUGAGUCAUGCAUGACCUAUAUUUGUUAACUAUUUUAUAACACCAAAACUCAAUCAACACCAUUAAUAUUGCUCGUAAACUUAAUGCCAAUAGGAGUAAUGCGCAGAUUUCGGUUUUAACAGAGUGUUUGAUUGCAGACAUACCUCUGGCAACGCUGGUCUUCCGCUCUUGAUUCCUGUACUCAACUACCACGUAUGGAUCGAUUCCACCUAAUUCCCAGAUCAAGAACAGGGACCCAUUUCAUAAGAUGAAUGCUUGAACAAAACCCAGAAACUCAUCUUAGUUUCUACCCAGAAAACAGAAUAAAGAACACAACUUUUUAAACAGGAAGCAGCAGAAAAAGGAAAUAAAUAAACAACAAGAACAUUAGCAAUACAUACCAAGGAAAUCGGUGUUGCUGAGGCCCUUGGCGCUCACCACAUUAACCUCCAAUAUCCCAAUCGCCAUAACUCCGAUCGAUCUCUCACUACUCUUCUCUUGUAUGUUCCCCGUUCUCCAAUAAGCUAUAACUCUGCGAAAUCUUCGAUGGUGUGUUGUGGUUUGUUUUAAAAAAGGGGGAUGUGGGUUUCCAGAAGGGAAGACCGAAAGAGUCCAAAAUGUACAGAGACAGAAAGAUGUCAGCUUUUAUUUAUAUCGACAGAGGAGGAAGAAGAGUUGUCCCUGACAUUUUCAGCGAUUUGAUUAUUCAGCCAUCUCUCUUUGAUAAUUUGUUGGGGGUAGUUAAUACGCGUGAAGUGUGAGCCAGCGGAUUUAUUUUUUUGUAUACGUUAAAAUGGCUAUAUUCCUUGAACCGUUUAAACAUUUUAGAAUAGCAUCCAUUGAUAUUUUUUUCACCAUCUAGUACCUAUUCUCAACUAUACGAAGUUCUGUAUGAAUCUGACGAAUAAAGGAUCAUUUGAUCAUAAAGAGAUGAUAGAGUACAUUGUCGAUAGAAAAUCAGAGAAAGUUGCAGUACAUGUAGCAUAUAAUGGCUAAGUGAGCAGACGAUCCAUCCAAUGAUCAAACGUCGACGAGGCGCUCAUAACUCCAAUCCCCUUUGCACCCGAUAGGAGGCCUUUUAGAUGCAUUUGAGUUCAAGGAUCUCUCCCACAAGAGAUUGAUUGAACCCAUUAACUCAACAGUAUUGGACCGCAACACCAGAAUUCAAUAGCUACUUGCUUGUUUUCGUCUCAUAACUGACUUAACACGAUAUCAGAACACUUUGAAAGUUAGUACUCAUGUAUAAUCCAACUCCGUCUAGAAGGUCCUUUCACCACUUGACAACAUUGGUGGAAUAGUAACUAGUUUAGAGAAUAUAUACUUCCAACCCAUGUCCUAAACACAUGACCUUUUAAAACCACAAAUUUCAAAUACCUACAUUUAUCAAAAUAACAUGAUUUUGUUCAUAAGACAUAGCUACCAAUAAGAAAACAACAUGCGGUAUAUCUACUACGAUACCAAUUUCUUCUUGUCACACUAGUAUUCAUAUACAGAAUCAUCCUUCUGUGUAUAUAGAAACAAUCCAUCUACAAACUGUGUAUAUAGUCUACCAAAUAGCACCUUCACAUAUCCAUGUCAGAUAUGUACAUUUAUGCCACUAGCAAACCGUUUCCUACUCAAAAUAGUCAUCAGGGCAUCACACAAGUCACAACCCCUUAUCCUCUCCUUGCUAAUAAUAUUCACACAUCAACUAGUGACAAAGUCCUACUUCAAAACGGGGCGCGGUGAGGUUUACCCUUGCGUCUCCUGGCAUUGUUAUGAUUGAACAUCGGAGGAGUAGUUGGCGAAAUGUUGACAGCAGCAGCCUCAUCGCCAGAGCUAUCAUGAGCCUCCGGAGCAUGAAUUGAGAGCCUAUCCAUCAUCCGGCUGAAAAGAUUAGUCCUUUGCAUCUUCUUAGGAGUGGACGAUUCAUCUGAAUCAGACCCUCCUUCCCCGAAAAUCCGAUCUCUGUUGUGCUUCUCUCGUAGUAUGAAUGUGAGGGAUUGAUCAUCUCCUCGUUUCACGCCUCCUAGCUGCCACAUCAACACAACAUACACCAUUCAUAUCAACUCUUUAGGCAUUACGAGAAUUAAGAGGUAUUCAUAUCAUGAGUGUACACAAUUCGGACCUUGCAGCCGAGGGAGCAGAACCGGAAGGAAUCGGGGAGGCUCCUGCAGCAGAUUGCGCAAGUACUCGUAACUCCUUUCCCAGGUCUCGACUGAGGCCUCUCGUUCAGGAACACAAUCUUGGCACUGUUGAUAACAUAGGUCUGGACGCAAGAUAUGUCUAUGUACUUUUGUAUUUCGAUCACUCUCACCACGUUAUGGUACGAUGACCGUCGAAUCUGACACAAAAAGAACCAUUAAUGUUAGAAACCGAUAAGUCAUAUGAAAGCUCCAUAAUAAUUAGAGAGUACAAAUUACACAUUCAAAAGUGUUAUACAAUGUGGAAAUAAAUUAGGUGGGAACCGGUCCGUACCAACCAAAUCAAUACCUAAUUUCAACGGAAUCCGAAUCGAAACAAAAGUUGAAUAGAGAGCAGCGAGCUGAUUACCUGAACGACCUGGUGAUCCUUGUGAUUAAUCAAACAGUAAGAACAGAGAGCAUUCCCAGAGCAAUCCAAGCAGAACAUAUUGCAUUCAGUACUCUUGCUGGAAUCACCAUGUACGUUACAAGGAGCAAAGUAGCUUGCUUUCAGCAUUGGUUUCAACCACGCCGGAACCAGGUCCCGCUGGCCUCCGGUGGCCGCCAUUCCGUCGAUUGGACUCACCUGAAUAUAAAGAACCAAGAAAAAUCAAAACCCAAACGGUAACCAAGUACCAACCUUUUUGAAUUGAAAGCAAACCCAAGAAAGAACCAAAAUCAAAAUAAGCGAAGAAGAGGUAGAUAGAAGUGAAAUGAUAAGGAGGACAAGAAUACCAUGAACCAGCACAAGCCUUUAGCUGAGAACCCUACUGAGAAAGAACAGAGGAAAUGGGGAUAACCUAACUGAGAAAUUGCAGAGAAAAUGAGCAGCAAGAUAAGAACAAUGGAAACGAAGAAGACUGAAAGGAGCCAAGAAAAGGAAUAUGAAAAGGAGAAAGGAACCUUUAGGGAGGAAUGAGGAGCUGAAGCGAAAAAAGGCAGUGAUAAUGCAGGAGAAGACUGAAGAGGCAGAAACAGAGGGAAAGCAGCAGAGUGUAUAUUCAGACUUCCCAGAAAGCAAAAUCAAACGAGAAAACUCUCUUUCUUUUUUAAAAUAAUAUUAAUUCUUUUUCUUGGCAGCCAAGUGAUCGGAAA